CACACUUUCCAUACAUAAUGUUUGUAUACUCUUACACUUCUGUAGGCCCUCCAAAUGCCCCUAUUUCCAAAUGCUUCUAUGUGUCCCUAUUUCUCAGGGACAGUCCCAGAUUUACAGAAGCUGUCCCAGUUUCAGAUUUGAUCCCGGAAUGUCCUGCUUUUCCUUAGGACCUCCCUAUUUUAAAUGUUCCCUAAGACUCUCAUGGAGCAUUACCAGCCCAGAAUGCAGAUGCUGAUGAGAAAGUCUUCUUACACCUCCAUCCACUUUCUCUCACUAGCUGAAUGGUCAAACCAAAGGAGAUCGCUAUGCCUCUAGAGGUCCAAUGAGCCAGCAGAGGGAGGUGUCACAAUGAAGGGCGUGUCACAAGGACCUCCGCAACCUAGCAACCACCAGCACUCAACUGACACUACUCUCAACUGACACUACGAAGUUUGCCUAAGCAUCCCGAGAUGAACAAGACAGGCCUCAGGAUGAAGUGUUAUACAACACACUGCUGGCUUUCAACAUAAAGAGGUAGAAGAAAUGGUGGGGUGUUGUUUUGAGGGGGUUAGGGGGCAGCUGAGCCCCGAGAAAGAGAGAUCGAUUUCAGGGGGCAUUUUGGCUCUGGACCCCACAAGAGGAGCCAUUGGCUAUGGGCCCAAACAGAUUUUAAAAGGGCAGAUCUCCCUGGUCAGAGUUUACUAGGACUAAGCAUCACAGCAGACCCUCCAAGCGUCCCUGUUUUCCAGGGACAGCCCUGGAUUUACAGAAGCUGUCCCAGUUUCUGAUUUGAUCCCGGAAUGUCCUGCUUUUCCUUAGGACUUCCUUAUUUCCAUCAGAGAAAUAUCGGAGGGUAUGGAGUUAUGUGACCUCCGAGCCAAGGAGAUAAGUAACUGUACAACCUUUAGAAGACAUCUGAAGGCAGCCCUCUAUAGGGAAGUUUUUAAAUGUUUAACAUUUCAUAUGCAAGCACAUAUAAGACUCCCUGUGAGCCAAGCUAACCUUUAAGCAGCAAAUGCUUUGCAUAUGUUAUGGAGCAAUAUACACAAGGAGUAUGAAGUAAUUAUAAACAAAUUAUGGGGUGGCCCGUAGUGUUUCACUGAAGCUUAGGUGAUGACCUUGUAUAUAUCCAGAGAGAAUGGAAAACCUGCCAAUUCAACCUCAGUUAAUUGAGCGCUUUGCUUAGGAGCUGCAGCAAACCCACGUCUUUUUGGAACUGCAAGUGGGGAAACAAAGAAGAUGUUCACAAAUUUCCCCCCUCAACUUCACUUCAGUAGCAAUCUGAUUCUAUUGAUGUGGGAGUGAGGCUUGUGACUUGGCCAGCAACCUAGCUCAGAACCCUUCCAGUUGUGCCCAGACACUUUUGGAAAGCUGUGGCUCACUUUGUGAGAUGUAGGGAUGUCCUGUGGUGGUGGUUGUUGUUGUUGUUGUUGUUGUUGUUGUUGUUGUGUUUUUUUUGUGUUUUUUUUGCAAGAAGUGGGAUGUAGGGUGCAUCGCUGCAAUCUUCAGAUGGGAUAAAGACCAGCAUUCCUCUCAAUGUGAAUCGCACAGAUUCCAUGGCGUUUCCUUGCACCGGAGUAUUAAAAACAGCUUUUAGAAAGGUGACAGAACUCUUCUUAAAAGUGAUACAGUUUAGCAAGGUUAUACUACCUUUCUAGCUAUCCAGAAGAUUUUUGCAGAAGGUAUUCUCAGCAGAUAUCCCUAGCCUAACUUCUGUAGUGCUCUGACAUACACCACUCAUAUAAAUCCUAUUCUUUCAAAGCAGCCACUUGUAACCCGAAACCAUGCAAUAAAUGCUAAUAAGUUUCCUGCUGUGUAGUGCUCUUUAGACAGCUUAUUUUUCAUCCCUCCUUUCAUGUGUGCUCUUAUUGAUGGCUUUGUCAGUUCCACAAGUGUUCUUAAAGAAGACAAAAAGUAAAUAUGAGUGAAAGAUGCAGGUCUGAUAAGACUCUCGAAGGUACACAGGAAAUACUUUCUGAAGACUGUUUUUUCCUUUCCCAGCUUUGUCCUUUUGAAAGUUUUAAGUUACCGGCAGGCUGCUGUUUAUAGUUAGCUAAAUGUGAAACGCCAUAUUUCUUCAUUAAAUGGUCAUUUACAGCAAAACAAAUAGCUGGUACUUACAUGAGGCAUAGAUUCGGUCCUGUGCCAUAUAAUGGAAACUAAUACUCUCUUCCACACCACCACUGGGAACGUUGACAGUGUUCAAAUAUUUAAGAGGAUGUCAAACAGAAAAGGGGGAACAAAUAGUUCACGGUGCCUGCUACAGAUUGGACAAGAUUGAAACUAUAUGGGGAGAGGUGGAAGGUGUAGAAACAUACAGAGCAGUGUAGACUACUGAUUCAUACCAUGAAUCCGUUUAACCCAAACUUCCCCAACAUGGUGUCCAUCAGAUACUUCAGACUGCAACUCCUAUCAUCUAUUGGCCAUGAUAGCCAGAUGGAAGUUGGGAAUUCAACAGCAGCUGGAAGGCACCAGAUUGGAGAGAAAACUAAUUUAUUUUUUAUUUUUUUACAAUAAUAUUUAUUAGUAGUUUCAGAAUUAUAGGAAAAAAAAUAAAAAAUAAAAACAACAACACUAUAAUACAUAAAAAAGAAGAAAAAACACAAAAACCAAUACAACAAUACAGCAAAAAGAAAAAAAGAAAAAAGACACAAAUCCCAAAUUACAUAUCUAUAACUUCCAUUUGCUUGUUUCAUUGACCUCCUCACACCUCCCUUUUUGUAUUCUAGUUUAAUUAGUUAUUUCAGCAAAUUCUUUCCAUCUUUCUCAAUUUUUGUUAAAAAAUUUAUCUUAACAAUUUAACCUAAUAAUUAACUCAACAAAUCCUUUCCAUCUUUCCCCAUAUUCUGUUAUUCAAAUUACCUUAAUUUAUUUAACCUUAUCUUACCCUAAAAUACCUUAAAGCUUGAAUCUUAGUUUUCAAAUAUACAUAACUCCUGAUGUCAUUUCUGCUAGAGUCAUAUAGUUUCAUUCCAACAUUUUCCCUAAUAUUCAUUAAUUUUAAACUAAUUCCCUAAAUAGAAAGUUUUCUUUAUAAAUUUUCUCCCAAUCUUCAUCCAACGUCUCUUCUUCCUGGUCUCGGAUCGUGUCAGUCCUUACUGUCCAUUCCAUCUAGUCCAUCAACCUGGAAGCCUUAUGUCCGAGGCCCUUAAGUCUCUUCCAUGUCCCUUCUGCAGUUCUUCUUCUUCUUGUUUAUACUUGCCCUUUUCCUUGUCUUUUGUUGGUCUCUUUCUUGAUUUCUUUCCUUUCUCAUUGAGGAGUAGGUCUCUGGGGGAUUCCAACCCAAAUUUGUCUCCAUCUCCCUUCAUCAAACCCGCCCACUCCCCACAGUCCUCGAUAUAAUCCAAAAAGUUUUAAAAGCAUAUUUCAAGGUCUCUCCAAAGUUAGGAACCUCCUCAGCUCCAGGCUCCCCCUGGCCCACUCCAACUUCAAUCUUCAAUGACAGCGGCUUAUGCUCCCGUAGGGCCUCGGGUCUCUCCGUAUUAUUUGAGGUGCAACCGCAUCCUCCUCCAUUGUCAUCUGCACUUGCCCAGUCAGUACAGAUUCAUGAGUUGGUCCCUGAAUGAUUUCUGUAUCAAUGUUCCCUGUUUGUCCACAGUUAUUAACCACAGCAGUCAAAUCCAUUUUCUCAUUCAUCAAAUCCAUCUUCUCGUGCAUCUGUUCCAGCAAGGCACUUGUCUUACAUAAAGCAAGCACCCAAUCUUCCUCCCAGCUCAUCUUUAGUCAAGGUCAGAGAAGACUAUUCCCACGAUCUUAAUCUCACAGCUGUUGGAUCCUCAAGUAUACUGCAGCAACAAUUUAACAAGUUCCCUCUAGAGGAGACAAUUUCUAUUUGUAUCCAUUUUUUUUUUUUAGGCAAGUCCAGCAAAGGAAAAUUACUUUCGGUUUUCAGAUAUUUUUCAGAUAUUUUGUUUCUUUAAAUUGCAAAAAGCAACAUUGGAAUCAGCUUAUUUCUCUUCUUUAGCUAUCUGUCAAAGUAUUCCAUUCACAGUCAAUGAACCUCUCCAACAGUUUCUGUCUCUGACACCCCGUUCCCAGGUUAGAGACGGUGGAAACUUAUCCUUCUUCACUCCCUCUCCUGCUAGGGUUAAACAAAGUCCCCCCCCUUUUCUCCUGCUUCCAAGGGGGUUUCAAUAAUUCUGAAUGAAGGAAAUUUAGACUUUUUUGACAGCUUUCCAGGCUUUAGCUUACAAAGUUUUUGCUUUAGUCUAUAUACAAAAAGCGGAAGGCGGACUUCCUGUUUUGAACCUUCCCACUUCGAUACCAAAUUAAGAAAUUUCUUGAUCCAAUUUUCCGUUUCUACUCACGGGUACUUGUUUUAAAUCCAAUUGUCCACAGGAAAAAGUCAGCACUCUCCGGCAAUGGCUGUGCGACUUCACUCCGUGAAAAUAGCAAUCAGUUCGCAGCACCGCGCCACUCACCCCACUUCGCUCCGGCGCCCCAAAAUGGGGUUCCCGGUGAGUAGGGGGGGCGCUCCUGGUGCCCUGCCGAACCCCACGUUCCCAGGCUUCCUCCGCCUGGGAUUUCUAGCGGGUCCCCACCUUCGCCGCGGCGGGAAGACCCAGUUUCCACGGAGCCCGUUCCUCCGAUCGGAGGAACUCCGCCAUUCACCGAUGGCGCUGACCCGGAAGUCCGGAGAGAAAACUAGUUUAGCCCAAAACAAUCUAUGCACAAGAUCCUGAAGCUGAGACUCCAAUACUUUGGCCACCUCAUGAGAAGAGAAGACUCCCUGGAAAAGACCCUGAUGUUGGAAAGAUGGAGGGCACAAGGAGAAGGGGACGACAGAGGAUGAGAUGGUUGGACAGUGUUCUCGAAGCUACCAGCAUGAGUUUGACCAAACUGCAGGAGGCAGUGGAAAACAGGAGUGCCUGGCGUGCUCUGGUCCAUGGGGUCACGAAGAGUCGGACACGACUAAAUGACUAAACAACAACAACAAUCUAUGCACACAGCCUGGUAUGCAGAGUCCACUUCUGAACUGUUAUAAAGCGUCAUGAUGGGGUGCAAUUCAAAGUUCAGAGAUGGCAAGGGAGAUGAACUCUCCUCCACCCAUGUUUUCCCACCAGAUAAAUAAGAGAUUUUGUUGUUGAUGAUGAUGUGGCAGGAGUUGUCUUCUCUUACCUGUGUCCACCUGGGUUCUCAGAGCAGCAUCAACAUGAGCUUGAUGCUUGGGAAUGAGAGUUGCAGAAGCCCAUAAGAAUUCCAUCUUCUUCUUGUGCAGCUGAGUCACAGUUUUGAGUGUUUCUAGUUCAGCUACAGUUUUCAGCGUUUUUAGCUAGAGCCAGCCAGGCAGUUGGAAUAGAUCUGGGGUACUUGAUCUUUGUGUACUGAUCAUUUUGUUGUCCAGCAAAGCCUGAGCUCAUGUACGUGAACUUGGGCUUGGUGCUGAGGAACCACAGGCUAGUGGUUUGGAGAGACCUCAACAACCACGCUGAAGCUGUCUGAUCCGGGAGACUUAGAAUAGGAACGGACAAAUCUGUCAAUUUCAUUUUCAUAUCACUUUCUUAUUUUUCCAGUCUUACGUUCAGUUCUCCACAUUCCUAAAAUCACUUUGCAUGUCUGUUUUUAAUCCUUAUGAAAAUUCUUCAGCAAUUUAGGGCACGUUUCUCCAAGUUUGCACUUUUCCGCAUGCAGUUUUGCCUUAUUUACAGAUCUUCCCCCCACCCCCAAGAAGUUUCCUGUAAUCUAUUUUUAAAAUAAAGUUUCGAUGGUUUCAGGAAAAGGAACAUCACCUGAAAGUUACAACAAAGUAUGGAGUAUAAACAGUACUGUUGCAGCACUGUCAUAAAGAGUUCCCAAAUAAAAGCCAACCAAAGUGUGCCUCUAUAUAUUCCCCCUCCAUAAAGACACCCAGGGACACCCAGGGACAUAGAGAGGGAGAAAGAGCAGCAUAUCUAUCCACAUACAUAGCUGAGAAAGGGAAACAAUGUUAAAUCUAACUUCUCAUGCUUCUCUGUAUCCUGACCACUCUUCUAUAUUGGGUUAGUUUUUCAGACAAACAAUUCCCAAAAUUUUGUCACCUGCACCUGCAAGGACCCUCCUCGCUUUUGCAGGAUCCGGCCAAUUCAAUUCCAGAUGCAGCAAAGAGGAAUACUGGUUCUUUAGAGAAUAGGGGUAAGAUUUUGUGAAUUGCCAAUGGAUAAUAAAGCUUUCUCUUAAUAUAUGCAGUUUUGCACACAUUCUCUGGUUUGGGAACACAAUCACAGAACUUGGAGAAAAGUGAAUUUCAAAGGAUAGUGUAUUGUGCAUUGCUUUGGGAACUUGGAGUUAAGCAGGUUCACAUUAAAAUCUGAACUGAAUUUCUCCUUCACCUCUAACUCCUAUUUCAUAAGGUAAAGGUAAAGGGACCCCUGACCAUUAGGUCCAGUCAUGACCGACUCUGGGGUUGCGGCGCUCAUCUCACUUUAUUGGCCAAGGGAGCCGGUGUACAGCUUCCGGGUCAUGUGGCCAGCAUGACUAAGCCACUUCUGGCGAACCAGAGCAGCACACGGAAACACCGUUUACCUUCCCGCUAGAGCGGUACCUAUUUAUCUACUUGCACUUUGACAUGCUUUCGAACUGCUAGGUUGGCAGGAGCAGGGACCGAGCAACGGGAGCUCACCCUGUCAUGGGGAUUCGAACCGCCAACCUUCUGAUCAGCAAGUCCUAGGCUCUGUGGUUUAACCCACAGCGCCACCCGCAUCCCUUAACUCCUAUUUCAUAGCCACAUGAUAAUGUUAGGGUUGACCCAACAUGUCACCAGCCUUUGUUCCUAGAAGGUCUUCUGUCCAGGUGAUGAAAAAACACAGACCCACUUAGCUUUGGCGAAGCAAUGGCCUCAUAUUCUACAGUUUCCUUGUUUCAAUUAUCCACUUUCUGGUCCUCAUCUCAUGACCCAUGAAAAUGGUUAUCUAAUGAUGGCCCAUAACACAACACAACACAACACAACACAACACAACACAACACAACAGGAGUCGUGUUUCUGGAAGAUGGAAUGGGGUGGGGUUGGGAGGAGCACAUAGAGCAGAUAGACAGGAUCCGUGGACAAAAACAAAUUAGGGCUGAAGAAUGUGAUGUGGGGGAGCAGGGUCGGUGAAUUGGGAAAGGACUGUUAUGGAAUCUACCACUCACACAAGUGUACCUCUUACAUUAUGUACUGAGAGAACUCCACAUCCUACGGAAUGGAUCUAGCUUGCCCUGCUGCAAAUGGAAGGAAAUGACAGCUUUUCAUUCUUCUUAUGCCCCCCCGCUUGCCUGCACCUUUUGAGCAGCUUUUCAGGGCAAACGUAGUCUCCCAGAGGUACUGCACCUGUACGAUAUCCAGAAUUUGCCGUCUUCCAGGAGGGUCAAUAGCGGACCCAUUGCUUGAUUAUGCGUGUUUGUUUAACAUUUCAUAAUGAUGCCCUGAUGCUGUUCUGUGAAUACCUGUUCAUUUUUGGCCUUUCUUCAAAUCUUGCUUUCCCUUGCAGACAUUAAAGUCACAGGUUCCUUGUUAGCAUUUGGUAUUGAGAGCAGAUGUGUCCAUUACCUAUCAUGUUCUGCUAAAGAAUGGAUGGGUUAUGAAAGGUCAACUUCAGCAUGCCUUUCAAUCUCCAUUAUUAUUUCCUCUACUUAGUUGCCACAGGCUCAGCAGAAAGACCAUAGUCAUUAGCAUAGGACUGCCUGAGCUUUAAAACAGACUUUGCUCAGAAACAUCCUUUCCCCCUUCUCCCCUCACCAUUGUAAAUGUCUAUCUGAGCUGGCAUUCUGUGGGUGACCAAAUGAACCUCAGUUCAGAAAUAUCGGCAUGUAUCUAAAAAUAUACUUGCCUUGUAUAUUCAGGGUUUGAAGAGUGCAUCACUGCUGCUGUUUAACAUCAGUUCAUUCUGGCAACGUGCAAGGCACUGGUGAAGGACAUAGGAGUCUUUGUGGCUUCCACACAGGGAACUGAUAAAAUACAGCUGCUGAAAAAGACAAUGACAAGGGAGUGAAGGCCUAGUCCAGUGGCGGUGAACCUAUGGCACGGGUGCCAGAGUGGGCACGCAGAGCCCUUUCUGUUGGCAUGUGCCAUCACACCAGCAGUGCCGUUGUUUGGGGUUUUCAAAUUGGGCAGCAGCUUCCCCCCAUGCCUCCUCAUGAGUAAACCACUCUCACCCUUCUGGAAGCAGCUUAGAGGCAGUUUGUCUCCGCAAAGCAGCUGUAUUCUUGCCUCCCCGCGCCCCCGGCGAUUGGUGGGAUUUUUUUUUUGCAGCCAGUAGCCUGUAGUUUGUGAGAUUGGUGGCUUUGUCAAGGGUUUUCGUUGAUUGGUAGCUGCCUGCGAUCCUUGAGACUAUGUGUUGUUUCUAUGUGUUGCCAGUGUGGUGUAGUGGUUAAGAGCGGUAGACUCGUAAUCUGGUGAACUGGGUUCGAUUCCCCGCUCCUCCACAUGCAGCUGCUGGGUGACCUUGGGCUAGUCACACUUCUCUGAAGUCUCUCAGUCCCACUCACCUCACAGAGUGUUUGUUGCGGGGGAGGAAGGGAAAGGAGAAUGUUAGCCGCUUUGAGACUCCUUCGGGUAGUGAUAAAGUGGGAUAUCAAAUUCAAACUCCUCCUCCUCCUCCUCCUCCUCCUCCUCUUCUUCUUCUUCUUCUUCUUCUUCUUCUUCUUCUUCUUCUUCUCCACGUGCCAUAGGAAGAGUUUAUAAUGUGUGUGAGUGUUUUUCUCCCCCCAAAAAACAACUGUGUUCCAAGCCCCCCCCAAAGCUCUGCAAGUCUUGGGAACUCCCCCCAAAAAACUCAGGACAAUGCCCCUCCCAAACUCAACAACUCAGGGCAGUCCCCCCCCCCCCCAGCUCAUUUUAUUAUGGUAUAUUAUUAUCCCACAUUAAAUUGCCGUGUUGGCACUUUGUGAUAAAUUAGUAGGUUUUGGGUUGCAGUUUUGGCACUCGGCCUCCAAAUGUUUGCCACCACUGGCCUGGUCAGUUGUUGUAGACCAGCUGGAUUCAUAGGCGUAGUGGGAGGCACCAGCUGGGGAAGCCCCAAGGGAACCCCCAAGGGAAGAGGGCUCACAGCUAGGGGACUGGUGGUGGAACGAUGAUGAGUGGUCAGAGGGAGAAGACAGAGCAGACUGGGAGGAGGAAGAGGUUCAGAAGCUGAGUUCGGAAGGGUCUGGUGAGCAAGAAGAAGCUGUGACAGAGAGCAGUCCAGAAUCAGAGGCAGAAGCAGAGGCUGGAGAGGGGGGAAGCCAAGAAGCAGACCUCCCUCUUUUAAUUGUUUACAUUGUUGUUCUGGUUUUUUUAAUGUCACUUGUUUUAUUGUACCUUUCAUUUGUGGAUGUUUGUUUCAACAUUUUUGAUGAAAUAGUGCUAUUGUGUGUUUGAAUUGUGUGUGUUUCAUUUUUUGUAAUUGGUUUUAUGCUUGCAAACCUCUUAGAAGCCAUCUUAUAAAUUAAUCAUUAUAUAAACAAAACAAAACAAAACAAAAUAUAAAAUACUUUGGGCCCUUGGCCCCGGCCUCCAUGCAUUGAUGAGUUCAGCACGUGGAGAGGCUACGUUUGGCCUGUACAACCGGCACACGUGAAGUCUCUCUUUGCACAAUAUGAUACCCUGCAGACCUUGCAUACAGCCUCCCAAGAGAUGGAAUCUGAGGUUAGGUUUGCUGCCAUGAUCCUAAUUCCUCUCUGUGCUCUGGUGCAAAGUUUUGGGACUUCCGAACAUAUGCUGAACUAUACCAUAAGCCAGUUCACAUCUUUGUCACCAGGAGACAAUGACUCGGGCAUGCACCUUCAUGUGUGACUCAGCCCUGGUUUAAAACUACCGUAUUUUUCGCUUUAUAAGAUGCACCAGACCAUAAGACGCACCUAGUUUUUGAAGGAGGAAAACAAGAAAAAAAAAUUCUGUAUCCCAGAAGCCAGAACAAGAGGGAUCGCUGUGCAGUGAAAGCAGCGAUCCCUCUUGCUGUUCUGGCUUCUGGGAUAGCUGCGCAGCCUGCAUUCGCUCCAUAAGACACUUUUUAGGAGGGGAAAAGUGAGUCUUAUAACGUGGUACCUCGGGUUAAGUACUUAAUUUGUUCCGGAGGUCCGUUCUUAACCUGAAACUGUUCUUAACCUGAAGCACCAGUUUAGCUAAUGGGGUCUCCUGCUGCCGCCGCGCUGGAACACGAUUUCUGUUCUCAUCCUGAAGCAAAGUUCUUAAGCCGAGGUACUAUUUCUGGGUUAGCGGAGUCUGUAACCUGAAGCGUAUGUAACCUGAAGCGUAUGUAACCCGAGGUACCACUGUAGAGCAAAAAAUAUGGUAAAUCAUGUUUGGUGUGAUGAGUUUUGCAAACCCCUGCGCUGGACUCUGACACCCUUUGUCUAAACUCAUCAGAUUCAACUGCUACAUGCAAUGCAUCACAUGCAUGCCCGAACGUGCCCUCACCCACUGGUCUUCUCACAAAGCAAAAGGAUAGGUAAAUGCUACUGCAGGCUUUGGUGAGGUGAAAGGUCCUUGUUCCCCUAGAGGAUUGACACAUUGCAACAGCUUCAUCUGAUUAAAAGGGGAUGUUGAUCAUUAGUUGACCCACGUUUCUUUCUUUCUUCCCUCCUCCUCCCUGACUUUUGGCAAUCAUUCAAAGUGUUCCCAGAUGCCCAUGAGCCUGUUGGUUACCUGCAAAUAAAACAUAUCUUUAUACCAGGACAUUAAUGUUAAUGAGUAAUAUCAAAAAGUGCCAUUCCCAGACCUUUUCUUUCUUUUCUUUUCUUUUCUUUCCCCCCUCUUUUCGAUGGGGAGGGGGGCCGGCAGCCAGAGCUGGUUGGCAUUUUGAUGGAUUGAAUGAUGGAAGGGAAACAUAUGCUUUCCAGAUUGAACGCCAAGCGUUUGCUAAUUCAGAGUCCAGGUCCCUUCGAGCUGCAGCCAAAUAAGAAUAAAUUGUGUAGUAUUUGUUACCCACUGGGGAUUAAUUACUGUGGUUUAGGAGGUAAGUAGCUGCAUCACUGAAGGUUACCAGUUUUCUUCUUUAAUGCAUGGUUAAGAGCUCUGAGGGAGGAGGGGAAAUGGCCGAGAGCAAGGAACACAAAUAUUUCUAUCAAAGGAAGGCCGGACAACGGCGAAUGAGGUCAAAAUGCUCAUCUGCAAAAAUUAUAUGCAGUUUUCCUAAUUUGUGGUAUUGCUUGUGUGCUCCCUUUGGAUGAAAAUGAAGGAACCCAGACAAGGCAACAGGAACAUGGCUGUUUUCUUUGUUUGUUUUCAGUUAGUAUGACAAUUGACCUGUAGCUGGUACUGCCUUAGAAAGAAAUAGUAUUGUUCCCCAAAGGUCUCUUGUCAGCCUUGAGCUUACAAGCUGUAAGGAAGGAAUCUUCCAUCUGUCAGAAAGGACUGCGUUCAAGACAGUAUCCCCCUGAGCACUGUGAUUUUGUGAUGAUGGUUUAAGGAAAUUAGCUCAAGCCUGUGAUAAAAGUAAGUACUUAAUCUGAGUUUGAAAACCGGCCAUGGUUGUUGUUGUUGUUGUUGUUGUGUGUUUCCCUGACUCGUGUAAAGUUUUGACGGGAAACAGAAAAGCUGAGGUUACGAGAGCAGGGUAGGCAGUGGUGUAGCAGAGGGGAAUCUUGGAAGGUGCAUGAACUGAAGAUGAUAUACAUGACUGUGACACACCUCACUUUAUCCUCGUAAAUAUAACCAGGUGAGGAAGGCAGGGUUCAGACAGUGAAGGACCCUUGAACUUCUCGGUUGAACAGGGAUGUGAAUCCAGGUCUCCACAGCAGAAACCCAGCAUGCUAACAGAGGCACUAGCUUUUGCCAGUUUAGGGCACAAUCUUAGCUUCCCUGCCUUACCCCAUCUGCAGCCCUGCCAUGGUAAAAACCUAAAUAUAUAUUUUUUGUACUUCUACCAACUUUGGGGUCCGUGCAAGUCUACUGUCUUCUUGUGUGUUGAUGGUGCCAUUUUGGGUAAAUGCAAAAUACUGACUGACUGGAGGCACCCUUAUGUUGUCAAUAUGCCACUUUAAUGGUCAAGGAUAGUAAAAAAUUAUUAAUAGGCUAGUAGAGGUUACUACUUGCUCUUCAUCUUAAAAUAUAUUUCCAAGUUACACAAAGAAUUAAAGGUAGCUGUGCUGACUCCUUAAAAAGUCCAAAAUCCAAAGUAGGGUAAUAUUUUACUAGGCCAACUGAAGUGUCACAAAUAAAAGCCAGCCAAAAUUUCACAAAAAUAUGGGUUUUCAAGGCACGUCUAUUCGCCUACAUGAAAUGUGUUUAUAAGCAGAGAAAACAAACAACAAUUUUUAUUUCAUACAAUAAAUGAUGAUGAUGAUGAAUAAAUGAACAAGGUACAUGUGAGUCAGGGAGGCACAACGAAAGAUGAAUAUGCUUGAAAAAAGAUAGAAAAAGUUUAAAGACAAAGAGGUCAUAAGAUGAACCAUUUUUUUAAUUGUAAUAACUGUUCAGGAUUUGAAAUGUUCUUAUAAUUAAACAUAGAAACUCUGUAUGUUGAAUUAUUUGUUGAAUUAUUAUUAUUAUUAUUAUUAUUAUUAUUAUAUACAAAAUGCUGCACCAUAUAUGCGGUGCUACCACUGAAAAGACCAACAGAGAGGGUAAGUAUUUGUGUCCAAGCAUUUUUACGUUUUCUUGGGUAUAUGGAACACAAUUUUAGUGUCUAUUCUUCAAUAAAAGAAGAUAUAUUGCAAUAAAUCCAUAAAUUUUCUUUCCUUUUUCCUGUGUUGGAAGCCACCCAAAGAAACUGGGGCAACCCAGCCAGAUGGGCAGGGUAUAGAUAAAAUUACUACUACCAAUAAGAAAAUGACAGUUGGUUCUGGAAGCUGGUUGCUAUGCAACGUAGCCAGCAUUCUUCAAAAAGUGAACUAUCACACAUAGUAGUUUUGCAUCCAGUUUUUUGCUCUCCACAGAAAUGAGGUUGACUGGUGUGUGUGUGUGUGUGUGUGUGUGUGUGUGUGUGAUGGGAUCUGUAGUCCAACAAUAUCUGGAAAGCCAUAGGCUUCCUAUCUCUGGGACAGAACAUUAUUGGUGCUCGAUGAGAGUGUGUAGGACCAGAGCUUUUUUCAGCCAGAACUCACUGAAACUCAGUUAUGGCAAGCAAGUGUGUGCUAUUGCCAUUUUAAGAGAACAAGGGAGGUGUUCAGGGUGAGUUCUGACACCUCUUUUUCUAGAAAAAUAGCACUGUGUAGGACCAUCCCAUACAGACUGAAAUGCUCUUGAAGUGCGCUUUUAACAGAUAGCUGAAGAAUACUCAAUUUCUUUGUGGGUAUUUAAAUCUUUCCUUGAACUCCCUAAAGGCUGAUUAUAUUAAGGAUGCAAAUUCAUCAGCACUCACUGAAAGUCAUCUUCAGGAAAUGUUUUUUUUAAAAGGACACAAAUGUACUGGUCUCACAAAACAAUCUUUCCAGACUGUAGACGGGAUUUAAAUUUAGGCAUUGACUUUUUUUCUUUCCAUUUUUAAAAAUCAAAUUGCAGGUGAACAGAGUUCAUUGUUUCCACCAAAAUAGCUUGGCCUAUUAUAAGAGCUAUUGAAGCCCAUUAACUCUUUCAGAUCUUUAUAUUUUAUAGGUAGGGCUGCAAAUGGAAUAGCAGGGCUUUAUUUUUAAUUAUAUAAUGCUAGUCUUAUUAUCCAGCUGAUUUAUACCAGCUUAGAAUACAUCCGCUUUUGUUGUUAUUAUUAGUUUCUUGAUCAAUGGCUGUUAAUAACUGGGAUUCAAAUUUCCAUAAAAACCAUAGCUUUUAAGUAUAAAUUAUUUAGUUUUGCUAGGAGCCUGGUUUAAACAUAUUACACGGGACAUAAAUUUAUAUGCAAUGGAUUAAUUACUGCUGUAAAUUGUGUCCUAGAAAAUAAUAUUCUAAUUUCAGUUGGUUUGGUUGAAUUGAGGAGAAACAAGAACUGGAUGUACUGUAUUUAAAGAUACCAUUGUGCAGCUUUCAUAGCAAAGAAAUGCAGUGUUGUUCAACGCAGUAUAUAUUCUUUGCCUUCUAUUCUGUUGUUCCACCAAAGCGUUUAAGUUCCUCCAUAUGGUCCAAGUUAUGGAAAAAUCUAGGCGCAAGGCUGCUCAGUCACCCAGCUCGUCAGGCAGAGCCCAUGGGUCCCUGUGGAAUAAAGGAAGGAGUCCAGCCACCAACCGGAGCAAAUAGCUGUAGACCAAAGUUUAUUGAGCAACAGAUUCAAAGAGGAAUUUUGAACCCCGAGGAUGGGGUGACAAUGACUUUUAAAACUUCCCUACCAUAUCCCAGAAUACAGUUCAUACAGCAUCAUUUAUACAUCAUUGCUACAUCUACCUUCCCGCUGGAGCAGUACCUAUUUAUCUAUUUGCACUUUGAUGUGCUUUUCAACUGCCAGGUUGGCAGGAGCAGAGACUGAGCAACGGGAGCUCACCCCAUUGCAGGGAUUUGAACCGCCAACCUUCUGAUCGGCAUGUCCUAGGCUCUGUGGUUUAACCCACAGCGCCACCCGUGGUAGCCUAUAGCAAUAAGAAAAACUUAGAGCAGUGGGGGACCUUGGGGUUUCAAAUUUCAGCAGCACCCCCUGCAACGCCACCGCCUCUGACCUAAGCCAUUGUCAAAGCUCCUCCUGCAGCAAACCAGUCACGCUCCCCUAAAUCUGUCUCUUAUUAGAGUGUAAAUACUGGAAAGUAUGUUGGGACGCGGGUGGCGCUGUGGGUAAAACCUCAGUGCCUAGGACCUGCCGAUCGUAUGGUCGGCGGUUUGAAUCCCCGCGGCGGGGUGAGCUCCCGUCUUUCGGUCCCAGCUCCUGCCCACCUAGCAGUUCGAAAGCACAAUUAAGUGCAAGUAGAUAAAUAGGUACCGCUCUAUAGCGGGAAGGUAAACAGCGUUUCUGUGUGCUGCGCUGGUGCCGGCUCGCCAGAGCAGCUUCGUCACGCUGGCCACGUGACCCGGAAGUGUCUCCAGACAGCGCUGGACCCCGGCCUCUUAAGUGAGAUGGGUGCACAACCCUAGAGUCGGACACGACUGGCCCAUACGGGCAGGGGUACCUUUACCUUACUGGAAAGUGUGGGAUAAAAGUUGGAAGCCAUUUCUGUACCUAGUGGUUGUGCAGAGGCAAAAGAGUUGGCUGCAGAUUAAGAACAUGCUGGGUAAAAAUUCAGAAGUACAAAUAGGUAUUGCUGCGUUUUUAUUAACAAACACACACCAAAUGCCUCCCAACAAAAAUAACAAAUGUCAUGUACGACUGUAUUUGUGAGAAUAUGCGAUGUGAAAUAUUGGGGAAAGGCUCAAAACCCAGCAGCAACAGAAUGGGGGGGGGAAUAAAUGAAAAUUUGGCAAAAAAAACCCCCUGAGCUUUCAAGUUCUUUAAUAAUUAAAGGAGAAAAGGUAGAAUAACUGGAAGGAAAUAGCAUGGAAAUUAGCACUAAUCUAAUAAUUUGCCUAAACAUUGCAGCAUCCUUUAUCUUCUUCUUCAAACAUAGUGUAAGAUUUCACUGAAUGAUUGUUGAAUCUAAACAGAAUUCUCAGCAUAGGUCUUUACCUAUUACCAAAGGAAUUAUUUCCGUGUGACAGUUCCCUUCACCACACCAAAAAGCACAGAUAGGACUUUCUCAGUGGUGGCACCCUGGCUAUACAACUCCCUCUCAAGAGAAAUCAGACCGUUCUCCACUUUACAUACAUGAAUAAACAUGUGAAGACUUCCUUUCUUAUCCAGCUUUUGGGCCAAUUGUUUUAUGAAGUUUUUACACUGCUGGUUUCAUCUGCUACCUACAGUAUGUUAUAGAACAGCUUGUUUUAAAUUGAUGAUCAUCAUGAUGAUGAUGAAUAGCCCACCCUUCAGCUGAAGGUCCCAGGGCAGGCUACAACAUUAAAACACAAUUUUAAAAAACAAUCACCGAUUGUUGGGUGUGUCAUUGUACAAAUGUCAUUGUACUAUUGUGAGCCAGCCUGGGCUCUCUCUGGAGAGGAAGAUAGGGUCUGAGAUAAUAAUAAUAAUAAUAAUAAUAAUAAUAAUAAUAAUAAUAAUAAAACAACUCUGGAAGGUUUACAAUUUAAAAUCCAUAUAUUUCCAGGAAUUUGGUUAAAUAUAUCAGGCUAGCAAGCACAGGAUGAGGGGAAGGGGGAGAAGAUAUGAGGUAUUUUUGGCUGAUGUGAUCUGCAAACCUAUUACCCCUCCAGGCAUGUCCUGGUCAGUUUACAACAUUUUGUAUAGGACAAUGAGCAUGCUUGUUUUUCACUCCGUCCCCAGAAAAUUGUUGCUCAAACCAAAAGGGGCUAUAGCAUCACACAGGGGAAUAAACCUUUCUCUGCAUUGCUUCUGAACUAGAAAUGAUGGCUUUUAAAGUCAGACGUGCCAAACGUCGCUAAUGUAAAAUGAAAGUAGAAGUGAAAAGAAAUGAGCCACAUAACUGUUGGAAUAUGGUUAAUUUACUGUGGCAAUGCCUUGGUUUUGGCUUUAAUCCCCUGCUUGAAAAUCGGAACCAGACUGCCAAACCCCACCUGCCACAGUCAAUCGGCCUCAUAUUUCUGUGUGCAUUUUUAUUUUUGUUUACCUCUCUUGGCACGGGGAGAGCUGCUCUCGCCUUUGCCGAUGGCCUAGUGAGAAGGUGUGACUGCAAAAACAAAAGCUCUGGUUUAGGGAGAAAAUUGGCAGCCAGCUGCCCGUUUUCUUCUUCUUUUGAAACAGUAGCUUGUGAUUAAUCCUCUAGCACCGGUGAACCACGGUAUGCAGCCAAGGUGGACUCGGGGAGUUUUCCUGCAGUGUGUUUUAAUGGUUUCUGUGAGAGGUGGUAAAAGGAGCGUGUGAGAGAUUGAGUCAUAUAACCCCCUCAGGUGGCUCUUUGAGUCUUGCUGCAAUGUGGAGUAAACCAAUCUAUUUGCCCGCUCUGUGUGUGUGUGUGCCACUGGCAGCCAGACAACUACCACAGCGGCUGCCACACCAGAAGUGGUUAUUCUAGUUGGCUUAAGUUUCACGUGCAAUGCUUACUUUAUUGCAAUGAGCCUUGGAAUCGGACCCUUUAAAACAUUUAGGGAUCAAAUACUAAGGGUCCUCACACCAUUAUUUCCCUCCCAGAUGAUGAAACUGAAGGCUCUCGCGAUCCCAAAAUUAGAGAUGCGUCUAUCGAAGUGAGCAAGAACUUGGGCAACAAGUAAAACACAGUUUCUGGUUCUCACUAACUGGAAUAGUUACUACCGCUUAACAUUGACAGAAAGACAUGCGCUCAGAUAAAGUUUGAUUUAGGGUCUGUCGUUCCGUGAACAGCGUGGCUCCAGCAUUUUAAAUGUCAUGUCUCUAAGCAGGUAUAAGUUGAUGAGUGCGAGAAAAUGUAAGAAGAGAUACUAUUAUCCACCACUGACAUAUUCGUACACGGGAAAUGAAGAGAAGAGAGCAGAUGGGCUCACAGAGCCCAAUCAUGCUUCAUAUUACUUCACCUCUGGCUGCUUUUCUUAGGCUGGGAAGCUACAGCAUCGGGGAAUAUUCCCUUUCGGAGGGUGGUGAUAAAUCUGAAAUCAACAACUAUGAUUGGUGAGUUGCUAUUUUUCGCGGGGUAUCUUGUCCAAGAUUCAAUCAGGCUACAAACCAAAACAUUCCAAGAAGACGGUUCUCAUAGGGUCGUCCCCCUCAGUUAAGAAUGAGCACGUUGGGAAUGGGCUGGGUGAGGAAAUGUUUCUCCAACAUCUCUACAGCUCUUGACGUCUGCACUUCUUUGCUGUGUGAAUGUUGGUUGAUGUGGGAUUCUGCUUUGUUCUUGGAUUCUCUCUCUGUACUGCUUGCGCACUGCAAUUUUUCACGUAAAAUCACAAUCCUAGAUGGAAGUAGAACUCAGUGAUUGUCCAGAGUGAUAUCUUCAGCUAGUGUGCAUUGAUAAUUCUUGAUUGGGGUCAAAUUUCUCCAUUUGGUGUCUGCACAAUGGAAUGAAUGCUCUCACCUUUAGGGGAUCACGUUCCCUUCGAGUUUGACUUACCAUUCUAAUGUUAUUUUCACACAAAACAUUACUUGUUUUAUGUUUCGUCUCUUAGGAGAUGAGUCAAUGGGUGAAGGGUGAUUUUGAGCAGGACAAAUCGCUAGCUUAAAUAGCCGUUUCUUACUUUUUCCACUAUAUUCUGAGCAAUACGAAGCCACAUGUAGCUGCUUUCCAUAAUGGUGUUUUAAUGGUAAUGGGUCAUAGAACUACAGUGGUACCUUGGGUUAAGAACUUAAUUUCUUCCGGAGGUCCGUUCUUAACCUGAAACUGUUCUUAACCUGAAGCACCACUUUAGCUAAUGGGGCCUCCUGCUGCCACUGCGCCGCCGGAGCACGAUUUCUGUUCUCAUCCUGAAGCAAAGUUCUUAACCCGAGGUACUAUUUCUGGGUUAGUGGAGUCUGUAACCUGAAGCAUAUGUAACCUGAGGUACCACUGUACUCUUAACAUGUGCUUCACCACAGUAUAUAAAUAUUGUUACAAAAUUCUAAUGUUUCCCCCUCUCUCUACUGAGCGGUGGAGCCCAUGGAGUCUGUGGUCCUUUGAAGAACUAAGACAUGGCGGAGACUGUCGUAGCUUUAAGAAAUAUGGUUUAUUCACCUAUUUACACCUUCAGUUUGCAUGGAGAGAGUUCAGCUCUUGCAGCAUGGUCAUUUCAAGAAGGGCUCAUUUCCCACAGCAGUGCAGUUCUGGAGACCAAGGCAUCUCUCCCAGCCAGCCUUCAGCCAGCCAGCCCAAGAUGGAUCCCAGUCUUUCUUCUUCCCCCUUCUUCCUUCCAGAACACCUUGCUAAAAACUCUCUUUUCUUGUAACCUCACAUCCAAUUACCCUGGCAACCUUCCAAACCCCCAGUCCCUGCUAAUACCUCAGGGUAAGUGGGGAGGAUAGUUCUCUUGCAUCAAAAAUAGUUCUCAGUGGCUCCUGUAUUGUUUCUUAAUGGCCUUAGCUUGGUCAGGUCGUUUUGCCCAGGCUAGCCCAGGAAUUCUUCUUCAGCUUGCAUUUCUGCCUUCACAUCCCAAAUAAUAAAAAUACUAUCAUUUAUUAAUUUCUAGGCUUGGGGUUUCCCCCCAAUCUAUAACAAUACACUAUACAAGGAAUUCUGAAAAGCUUAUUAAAACUUCUAUUGGUUGGGCCUCUACAAGUUCUUUCUUAAAAAUGAAGUGCAUGCAAAGUGUUUGACCUGAAUGUCAAGAAGAACAAGCUUUAUGAUGUGUCUAUAAAUGGUUUUGAUUUGUAUGUCAUCUUAUGUCAGGAUGAAAUCCAAAGGGAGCUUGAUUUCAAGUUUGCUCUCAUCCAAGCUAUUAUUUAACAACCCUUCUUGUAGUUGUCUAUGACUUAACAAAUGGAGUAUGCGGUUGCAUUCGGUAAGCGACUCUAGUAGAGGCAGCACCAAUUAAGUAUUUAAACAUCCAAAUGUCUGUAGGCUUUGGAGGUCAUGAAAAAAAAAUGUAUGUAAUAUAAUAUUUCAGCCAAGUAUGAUAGUGGAAGGUUUUUCUGUCAUGCAGAGGAUGGAAAAUGUACCAAACAUGACUGCAGAACACUUGUAAAGCAAGUUUGUGUUUAUGUACAUUUUUGGCUGGAAUAAAUCCGUCACCAAGAGAGCUAUUCUUCUAGAGACCGGAUGGUGGGGGUUGAGUAAUGAGGCUUGGGGUUGAGGAGAAAAUGACCCACGACAGCAUUUAUACAAUCAGAAACAACAAUCAUCUGCCCCAACAUGAAAUAAAUGCUUCCUAUUUCUUGCUUUGAGCCUUCAGAAAUAAUGUUCGACCUUCUACAAAACCUGUAUUUUAAUGGGAACUUUAGAACAACUUUGUUCCCUUCUUCAUCCUUUCCGUGACAAUAAAGUAGGUUUUCUUCACCAAGGUUUACUAUACAUCUGCAAGCCGACUCAUGCGAAAAUGUCUGCAAAUGAGCAGUUAAGGGAUCCAGCCAAUUCCCCGCUGCUGCAUAAUCCUUCAACACUUGCUUUUACCCCACCCGACUUGCACUCAAAUGCCAUAAUUAACUAUGGGAUUGUGGGAGCCACCGUUGCAGCUUAAAACAGUUUUUCUUCCUCCUUCGUAGCCAACUCCCAUGAAACUUGCUUGCGAAGAAAUAAACAAGCAAGAACCCCACCUAGGUUAUGACCCGUGACGUGUAAACCUAUUUCUGCUACCUCUGGGGCUGGGGGAGAACGUCCAACCAAGCCAGAAGAAAAGCGGGGGUGGGAAGGUUCAACAGACAAGCUUUGGUGUGCUUUUAUUUAGGACUACUGGGUAAUGCACUUCCCAAGUUAUUUGUAAAUAACAUGAUGAAUGAGAUUUGUAUCAUUAAUUGUUAUAAAAUUCAAUAAAUAUUCAAAAGAAAAAAGAUAAUGCACUUCCCAAAAUUUGCACAACCAGAAACAGGGUCAAGGAAAAAUAAAGUAUGAAAAAAUUGCAGAUUUUAAAACAAUUACAGUGAAACCAUUAUCGUCUCUGCAAGUACCCCAAUAGUAAAUCCUCACUAGGUCAAAUUCCAACAUGGUGCAUAUUCCAGCAUAAUCCAAAUACGUUUCAAUACAAAGGUCUGCAUUGGUUGCCUUAAUAUAGCACUAAAUUUUUACUCAGCGUAAACUACCUGAAAUUAAUGGACCUAACUUAGUUAUGCUCAUUAAUUUUAAUGGAACUUCUUUGUAUAAAACCCAGUUGAAUGCCAGCCAAAGUUGGUGACAUUGGCAGGACCGUUUUGCCAAAUCUUCCCUGGGGGAAAAAUGAAAUUCUCCAACAGUUCAGGCAGAGACAGAAAAAAAAGAAAGAAAUGAAGAAUAUCAAAAAUUGUCAGGAAAUUGUUUUCUGAGCAAUUUUGUAUCAGCCCAACUUUUUGAAAUCUCUCUGGUCUUUAUUCACUUUGUUCUCUUCCUCCCAGGCCAGGGGUGAUGGGUAGGUGAAAUCCUUCUGUAUGUCAAUGUUUUUAUUGGAGCGGGGAUGCUUUCUUGCUUUUAUUCUGUUUGCUCUGUUUUGUGCAUAUGAUUAAUGUGAUAUGGCACAUGAAAUAUAAUAUUUUAAUUUGUUCAGUAGCCCAUGGACGCGUGGCUACUGAAUUUGAAUGACUGAAUGUCUGUAGAUUCGUCUCUUCCUGCAGAAAGAUACAGGGACUGGGGUUGCUCUUUUCCCCUGUGGCUCUUGCUCAAUUGUGUUCACACCAUGUAUCAUGGUACAGUCUACGGGCGAUCAAAGUCCUGGCUGAGGACGUCGGGAAUGGGGGCAAGAUGGUGGGGUGGGAGCAGGAAUGAGAGUCCAGAAGUCAGGGGUCUGAGGGUCAGGAAGCAAGGAGUCAUGAAGUCAAGAGUCCGAGGGGCGAGAAGCCACACACAGCAAGGCAGGAAAUGUGUUGCUGUGGCAAAGAGCCGAAGGGAACUGCUGACCUUAUAUCCCUUCCUGGCUCUUGCCACCAGGUGCUUUGAGUUACCAAGCAGCCUCACCUGUGCAGCUGCACCUUGCCUCUCCAGAACAAACUGAGGAAGGCCCCAGCCCUGUGAAGCCCUACUGGUCACAGGGCCUGGCUCCUGCACACACUUCUGACACCAUGGAACACCAUAGACCAGGCCCAUCUGAACAGUUGCAGGAGCCAGCACAAUUAGUCCCACUGACACAGACCCUCCAAAUGUCCCUAUUUUCCAGGGACAGUCCCGGAUUUACAGAAGUCGUCCCAGUUUCUGAUUUAAUCCCGGACUGUCCUGCUUUCCCUUAGGGCACCCCUGUUUUCAUCGGGAAGACAGGAGUGCCUGGCGUGCUCUGGUCCAUGGGGUCACGAAGAGUCGGACAUGACUAAACGACUAAACAACAACAACAAUUUUCAUCGGAGAAAUGUUAGAGGGUAUGGUAAAGGUAAAGGGACCUUCCCGCCAGGGUGGUAUCUAUCUACUUGCACCUUGACGUGCUUUUGAACUGCUAGGUUGGCAGGAGCAGGGACCGAGCAAUGGGAGCUCACCCCAUUGCGGGGAUUUGAACCUCCAACCUUCUGAUCGGCAAGUCCUAGGCUCUGUGGUUUAACCCACAGCGCCACCUGCGUCCCUCAGAGGGUAUGGUAGGAUGUCCCUAUUUUCAUCGGAGAAAAGUUGGAGGAUACGGAAUAGGAAGUCCCUAUUUUCAACAGAGAAAUGUUGGGUGGUAUGCUAACACAAUGGGUCUUUCCCCUGCUUUGCCUCCAUGGCACGUCCCCAAAUUAUCUCAGGAGGGUCCAGGAGAACACCCAGAACAGCAUACAGCAGGAAGAAAGAGGAGAUCAGAAAUUCUUGCAGUAAUAGAAUGAUCAUAAAAACACAAUAUCAAAUUCCUCCCUAUGAGUCCAAGUACCUUAGUCUUGGAAGUAUUCCUAUUGUACCUACCACAUGUUUUGCAUAGUUGAAUUGUUAAUAAACUGACAUAAGAUGGAGGUUGGGAAGAGGGAGCAGCCCUAAGAACAACCCCUAAGUCUGAAGGAUAAAUAGAAUUGGUCAUAUUACUUUUGCCAUAGAGAAACAUUUUACUGUGCCUUUCUCACCGGGAGGGUAUAGCUCGCCCUGCAGCCAAUUUCACAGAGGGGAACAGAAAAGUAUACUUUACAAUAAUGUUUGGGUCAAAAUGUUUCUUCCAGUUACCAUGUGCUCACGUAAGAUCUCCUCACUGUGUUGUGCUUUUCUUCUCCUCUGGUGUGUCAUUCUGAAAGGCUAUAAUUUAAGCAACAGCUGUAAUAAAAUUAUUUUUUAUUUGCUGGUUGCAAAACUUUUAAAACAAACUGGAGCCUGUGCCAUUACUAAAAUGGUUUAAAUAUCCCAAAGAGGUCCUGGAUGUUACUUUUCUUAAACAAAUAUAUUGUUUUCUUGCCAAACUGCACAAAACAGCUGCAGUCACUGAAGCCUCCUUUAAAUAUGUUGGCUGGCUACAAAUGAUUAAAUACAAAAUUUCACCCAUCUAGAAGACAGAGCCAUGGGGCUCCUCUUGCAAUGGCUGCAGGUAGCAAGUUGGCAUCUAUUUUCCAGCACUGAAUUCAGUCCUGUACAGUGGUACCUCGGGUUAAGUACUUAAUUUGUUCUGGAGGUCCGUUCUUAGCCUGAAACUGUUCUCAACCUGAAGCACCACUUUAGCUAAUGGGGCCUCCUGCUGCCGCUGUGCUGCCGGAGCACGAUUUCUGUUCUCAACCUGAAGCAAAGUUCUUAACCCGAGGUACUAUUUCUGAGUUAGCGGAGUCUGUAACCUGAAGCAUAUGUAACCUGAAGCAUAUGUAACCCAAGGUAUCACUGUAUUGGGUGAACAUGGAGGAUUUAAAAAUAAAUCUAUAGCAAGGCUGUGUAACCUACAACCCCCCAGGUGUUGUUGAAUUUCAGUUUCCAUUAGCCCCUGCAUAUCUGGGGUGGUGGGGGUGGUCAGAGUUUGGUCACUCUGAUCCAUAGAGAUAGCUUGCCCAAGAAGGCAACACCAUCAUUGUCUUAGCUCCCGUCUCCUCCCUAAGUACAUUGUUAGGAAAAGAAAAUAUAGUUAGUUCCAGUUCUUUAAAAAAAUCCCACUGGACUCUGUUGUGUGCCAGGAUUGUAAGAGAUAAGACAGCGAAAACUUGGAGCCAAGAGCAAAUAAGCCAGCAGCUUAGGGAGGCUGUGUGAAAGAAAGAAGAAAAAAGCAUGCUUUUUAAGACUCUUGAGUUAUGCCUUUUUAUUACAAUAUAUAAUAGUUAAAAUAUUGCUUCCUCCUGGAAGCAGUUUCUAAUAGAGAUUAGAGACCAGGUGAAAAGUACAAUCAACUUCCAACAAUUUUUGCAAAACAGCAUUUUUUGGUGAUUCAUCUUCCUUUGGUUAGUGGAUAAAAACCGGUCUCCUAUAAUCACAGGAGUGUCUGUCGCUUAUUUCUGUGUGGACAAGAUUUCAGCACCAAAUAGUUCACAAAUUAAUACAGUGGUACCUCGGGUUAGUCGGGACAAGGGUGACGCUGUGGGUUAAACCACAGAGUCUAGGACUUGCCAAUCAGAAGGUCGGCGGUUCAAAUCCCCGCAACGGGGUGAGCUCCUGUUGCUCUGUCCCAGCUCCUGCCAACCUAGCAGUUCAAAAGCACGUCAAGGUGCAAGUAGAUAAAUAGAUACUACUCUGGCGGGAAGGUAAAGGGCAUUUCUGUGCACUGCUCUGGUUCGCCAGAAGUGGCUUAGUCAUUCUGAACACAUGACCCGGAAGCUGUAUGCCAGCUCCCUCGACCAAUAAAGCGAGAUGAGUGCCACAACCCCAGAGUCGAACACGACUGGACCUAAUGGUCAGGGGUCCCUUUACCUUUACCUACCUCGGGUUAAGAACUUAAUUCGUCCCGGAGGUCCGUUUUUAACCUGAAACUGUUCUUAACCUGAAGCACCACUUUAGCUAAUGGGGCCUACCACUGCCGCCACACCUCCGCUGUGCGAUUUCUGUUCUCAUUCUGAAGCAAAUUUCUUAACCUGAGGUACUAUUUCUGGGUUAGCAGAGUCUGUAACCUGAAGUGUAUAUAACCGGAAAUACCACUGUAAAUAACAACAGAAUAUGGAAUCUUGCACUGAACAAUUUGCUCAGCUCCCAGACAGUCUAUUGCUUAUUAUAGGGAAGUAAAUGGGGGGGGGGGGCAGGGGGUAAAGAGGAAUGGGGCAGAGGUAGGGUUUGGUUGCCAUAUGUCCUCUUUUUAUCCAGACGCCCUCUUUUUCAGGAUUAAAAUUUCUAUCCAGGCAGAUUUUUAAAAUUUGACAAAAUGUCUGGUUUUUUAUUUGUUUGUUUGUUUACAGCAACCCAAUAAAAUUUCUUUCUAGUGCAUUAGACUCAGAGUGAAGGCACUCGACUAAGCUAGUCUGCAGCAGAGAUUCACAACAGAGCAGCCUCUUAAACCAGCUAGGACUCUGGCUCAGCUAUAAGAUCUUGGAGAAGGAGUCUGGGAGGGCAAGAGUUAACAUCCCCCUGAUCUUAAGGAGAGUCCAUAUGUACACGUUGAACAGUUUAUGUUCUGUGCACGCUUACGUUCACAAAGAUGUGAACAUGAGUCCAAAUACUUUCAUGUGGCAAGUGAGGGAACAAUAUGUAUUAUUAUUAUUUUGUUGAAAAUUAAGAACAUUGCUACUAGCAAUAUAUCACAGCUUCUAUAGCCUACAUAUAGUAGAGGUAUUGGAUGCUGGUGGUGCUGUGGUCUAAACCACUGAGCCUCUUGCACUUGGCAAUCAGAAGGUUGGCAGUUCGAAUUUGCAUGACGGUGUGAGCUCCCGUUGCUCUGUCCCAGCUCCUGCCAACCUAGCAAUGCAAUCGUAUGCAUGCUUCCUCCCUCCCCUGGGUGUUCACAUCGCUUGGAGACGUCAUCCUGAGAAAAAUCAAGCCAGUGCCUGCUUGGGAUGCAAUUAGUGCAAUUAGUACAAAACUUCUUGUAAUCCUACAAGCGUAGUCAGUGCAAAGUGCAAUAUUUUCAAACAGGUAGUAGAAACUUGCCUCAAUUAACAUGCUGGCUCUCUGUAGCUCUUGGGGCCUAAAUUCUAUCAAGGAAUAUAAGACUCUAUAAGACUCACGUUUUCUCCUCUAGAAAUUAAGGGGAAAUGUGUGUGCGUCUUAUGGUUGUGGAAGGGGCUCCGUUUCGCCUGCCCCUUUCGCUGAAAGGGCGCUGCGCAGAGAGGGAGAGAUUUUUUUUCUUGUUCUCCCCCUCUAAAACUAGGUGCGUCUUAUGGUUGGGUGCGUCCUAUAGGGCGAAAAAUAAUGUAAAUGACUCACAACUGACUUUGCACAGGUGACUAGAAAUCACGGAAACAAUGCACGUACAGAAAUGGUGAACAGACACUAUAAUAAUGUCCUUUCACCACAGAAAUAGCUUCCUUACAAGUGAUACUGCCUUUCUGUACGUACAUCAAGCACGAAUCUCUCCUUCCAGCCUAAGGAAAUAACUUUGUGCUUAAAUAAGUAACUAACGAUGCCAUGGUACACAAGUUUUCAGAGGUGUAUAUUCCAUUGUAUUCAGUGGCCUUUACUCUCAGGAGCAUGUCUAUAGGAUUGGAGGCUAAGACUAAUCCUAAGUGGCAAGCGCCAUGGAACACAGGGAGACUUAAAGGUAAAGGUAAAGAGACCCUGACCAUUAGGUCCAGUCGUGACUGACUCUCGGGUUGCAGCGCUCAUCUCGCUUUAUUGGCCGAGGGAGCCAGCAUACAAUUUCCAGGUCAUGUGGCCAGCAUGACUAAGCCACUUCUGGCGAACCAGAGCAGUGCACGGAAACGCCGUUUACCUUCCCGCCGGAGCGGUACCUAUUUAUCUACUUGCACUUUGACGUGCUUUCGAACUGCUAGGUUGGCAGGAGCAGGGACUGAGCAACGGGAGCUCAUCCUGUCGCGGGGAUUCAAACUGCCGACCUUCUGAUUGGCAAGUCCUAGGAACUGUGGUUUAACCCACAGUGCCACCCGCGUCCCUACAGGGAGACUUACUGUGCAGUUAACAUUCAUAUGAUUGCACAGCAUGUCUUUAAGUCACCCAUGUGGGUUUCCCCUGCAAAUUUAUACCCUUGCAAGUAUGAUGCUACAUAAGUGACUGUAUUAUGCACAUGUUUCUGAAGGAAACUGGAGUACAUGUUUCAUGUAUGACUGUUUCAUACAGUCCUCCUGGAGCUGUAUCACCCAGCAGAACCUGCCAUUUUUCUGCAUAUGCUAAAAGAUCCCAACUUUUCUUGCCCUGAUGUUCAGAUUUCCCCUCGGUCCUGUGAGUAUCUCUGGUGUUCCUUGGAUAUCUUGAUUUUUAAGGUGAUUAUUUAGAGAUCCCCAGGGUCUGAUGCUCUGUCAUGCCAUGCCCAUCAGGAUUCUCUUUCAGGUGUGGAGAGUAGACAGAGUGUGUCUUUCUGGUACUCCUUGGCUUAGGUUUCUUGAUGUAAAAAUCACCUUCAGGCAUGAUCCCAAACUAUAAAACUUAAAAUCUUAUUUGUUUGUUUUAGUAAAGUGAGUAUACAUAUGUACAAAGCAUUGCUAUGAGCAGUUUAGCUGGGCAGCAGGUGAUUUUCACUGGGACCAGGAAAAAACAUAGAUGUGUCCCAAGUGAAACUUGUGAAAAACCUUUGGUGGCUGUUAACAGUUAAAAAUAGCAGCAGUAACAACGGGAUGUGUUUAGUUUCCUGUCUAGUUUAGCUCUACGUUAAGUUCUGGGCUCAUGUAGAAAGAGGCAGUGGGGAACCAAGGCAUUUUUACUCAGAACUAAAUCCCACUGAAUUCAAUAGGAAUUACUCUCUGGUAUGUUCCUGAUCAUUCUCACAAUUUCUGUUGUCGUUGUUGUAGUAGUAGUAAUAAUCAUAAUCAUAAUCAUAAUCAUCAUAACAACAACAACAACAAUAAUUUAUCAUUUAUACCCCGCCCAUCUGGCUGGGCUUCCUCAGCCACUCUGGGUGGCUUCCAACCAAAUAUUAAAAUACAUGUUGUUGUUGUUGUUGUUCUUGUAUCCCAGCUUUUUCCCUGUCAAUGACUCAAGGCAGCUUAUUUCAUUCCAUUUAAAUGUUGAAGGUGUUGCACGUGAUCCCUUCCCUCACACAUUUUCCUUCUUUACAACAAUCCUGUGAGGUACGUGAGUGUCAGGCUACCGAGGAUCCAACCCCCCCCCCAAUGGCAGGAUGCCAGGAUUGGAUAAGACAAGGAAAAGUUCUUAUCAACUGCUUUUUAUUCAGUAUUCACAGACAGCGGCUUGGAAAUUCAGCCUCUGGGAUUAAUGGCGUUGCCCCGAGUCAAUCUCCACCCCCUCCCUCUCUCCCAUUAUGCGUCAUCACCACGGGUUCUGAGAAGUGCCCUCUGCCUCUGAGCUCUUUGCUCUACUACUUUCAAGGCUCGCUGGGUUCUGGGAGGUGGUGUCUGGAAUGCUUUCUAAGGACACUGUGUCCAUCAGCCGUCACUCCUCCUCCUCCUCCUCCUCCUCCUUCUCCUCCUCCUCCUCCUCUUCUUCUUCUUCUUCUUCUUCUUCUUCUUCUUCUUCUUCCUCCUCCUCCUCCUCCUCCUCCUCCUCCUCCUCCUCUCCCAUUAUUUCCCAGCUUUCCCCCUCAUCUGCCUCUGAGCUGUGACCUCCCUCAAACCCCUGUUGUAAUUCUGAACUGUCACCUUCUUCUCUGGAAGGGUCAGGCUGGGGAGGCAGUCUCCACCAUUCUUCCUCUGCCCAGUCCCUGACAGUGAGGUUGUAAUUCACUCAAGGUGACAGAUGUAUAGGUGUAUAUGACGUAUAUGUGUCUGGCGAGAUCAAACAUGGGAGAAGCUUCCUGUUGUAGAACAGAAUGUCCCACUUUUCAUCCGAGAAAUGCUGGAGGCCAAACACCACAUUUUCCUUACACCAGCUGCAAAGCUGCUUGCAAGUCUGAGGCAAGCAGGCUGUUCCUUUGACUCGUGGGCAAAGAGGAAUAUAAAUGUGCCUGUAAUAGGCAUGCCAAAGGUGCGGUUCUCCUACAAGACACAUAAUGGUGACUCACCAGCAGUUUACUGCAAUGUGUUUCUCUUCAGGUCUGGUGCUAAACAGAGCGACAUAGGCUACCACUCUCCAAUCACAGCUGUGUGGAGGGACCUGUUGAUAUCUGCACAGUCCCGUUGAAGUUCAGGGGAGUUGAUCUUUAGCGGUUAGUGAAAUAUUACACUGUUCACUGGAAUGGCUGCUGAAAGGCUGGAGUGCAGAAUCCUUGAGGAGCGUCUCUUGACUAGAUGGACGGCUGGAGCGAGGGCAUGCACUCCGGAGUGGAGAUAUGUAUCAGAAACUGGAACAAGCUAACACCACAGUGCUCCUCCCAAAGGGGGAACGAGACUGACAAAAUAAAUAUACUGUAAAACUGUAGAUCCGCUAAAGAGUACAUAGUAAUCUACUUUAUAAAUAAUUGCUGUUCUCAGAGGUUCCAAGGCUCUCUUUUCAGCAAGGGCUGCUGCCUGGGAUUCCUCUUGGGAGCCAUCUCUACUACUGCCGAGUCUUGAUGGCUGGGUCACAUCUGCUGCUGUUGUACUGGCUGCCAUCUCCUCAUCUUUCCAAUGGUUCCGACGUGUGCUCUGUGCAGCAAGACGGGCUUUGGCAGAAGGAGACAUGACAUGACUUCAUAGGUCUCGUUACAUCCCUAACCUUCUGUGUUUUCUCCUCGCUGCUUUGUUUUCAGGGACUCUCCCCAAUGGGAGAACCCCCAAAACAUGUCAUAACAAUGAUGAUGACUAACAAUGAUAUUUCUUUCUUUUCUUUUUUUUAGCUUCACAUUUUUAUGGCCCCUGCCCUGAAAAGAACUCUCUAGGCAGAUGCCUAUGGACCCUAUUAAAAACAAAGAUGGAAAAGAAAUGUCUGUCGAGUCCAGUAAUUAUUGAAGCACUUCCUUAAUCGCACUGGUUAACAGUUGCUUUCCUGGUUUGUCGUGUUGGACUCUGGGUAUCCCAGGCAGUGCCUUCCAGGUGUUGAUGUACUCCAGCUCCCAUCAGGCCCAGCCAGCAUGGACAUGGAUCAGGGAUCAUAGCAUCACUGAACUGUAGAGCAGAAAGGUACCUAGUCCAACUUCCUUCAAUGCAGGAAUCUCAAUUAAGGAUCCAUGACAGAUGGCCAGAUAAUAGGAGUUAUACAGGAAUAACUGAAGAGCACCAAGGUUUAAAGUGUUGAAUCAUCAUCAUCAUCAUCAACAACAACAACAACAUAAUUUAUUAUUUAUAUGCUGCCCAUCUGACUGAGUUGCCCCAGCCACUCUGGGUAAAAACACAAUACAGCAGCGAACACUAAAAACCUCCCUGAACAGGGCUGCCUUCAGAUGUAUUUUAAAAAUCACAUAGCUGUUUAUCUGUUUGACAUCUGAUGGGAGGGCUGUCCACGGGGCAGGUGCGACUACCAAAAAGGCCCUCUGCUUAGUUCCCUUGUAGCCUCAGUUCUCACAAUGAGGGAACCACCAGAAGGUUCUCGGAGCUGAAUCCCAGUGUCUGGGUUGGACAAUGGAGGUGAAGGUGCUCCUUCAGGUAUACAUGGCUGAAGCUGUUUAGGGCUUUAAAGGUCAGCACCAACACUUUGAAUUGUGCUCAGAAAAGUACAGGGAGCCAAUGUAGUUAUUUAGGAACAGUGUUAUAUGGUCCUGGUGGCUGCUCCCAGUCACCAGUCUAACUGCUGCAUUCUGAGUUAGUCGCAGUUUCUGAGUCACCUUCAGUUGUAGUUUCUGAGUCACAUAGAGUGCUUUGCAGUAGUCCAAGUGGGACACAAGAGGAGACUUGGUUUAGAAAGCUGCCCCACAUAGCCACAGAACUCAUUGGGUAAUGUUGGGAAGAUCAUUACUUUAUCUCCUGCCCUAACCUUCCUGUGCUGUGAAGAAAUAAAGGUGGGGAAAUGGGUAAAGGCAAGGUAAAAGUAAAGGACCCCUGAACAGUUAAGUCCAGACAAACUUGGCUAUGGGGUGCGGCACUUCUCGCUUUCAGGCUGAGGGAGCUGGCAUUUGUCUGCAGACAGCUUUCCAGGUCAUGUGGCCAGCAGGACUAAACCACUUCUGGCACAGUGGAACACCGUGGCAGAAGCCAGAGUGCAUGGAAACGCUGUUUACCUUCCCACCACAGCAGUACCUAUUUAUCUACUCACCCUGGUAUGCUUUUGAACUGCUAGGUUGGCAGGAGCUGGGACAGAGCGAGGGAGCCCACACCUUCAUGCAGAUUCGAUCUGCCGACCUUGUGAUCGGCAAGCCCAAGAGGCUUGGUGGCUUAGACCACAGCACCUCCUGCAUCACUUGGGGAAAUGGGUAUGUCCCCUUUAGCUCCUUGUAGGAAAGAUGGAAAAUACUAAACAAACAAACAAAUACUUUUCCUGGAGGGCUGGCAUGGUCUGUGAGCAAAUUCUGUUGCCACAGCUGCUAUUUUUCCUCACAUCUCAUUUGCCAUUCAGCUACCAACUAGAAGGCCAGUGGAAUGUCUCUGCUUGGAUCAGAUUUGGCCACUGGGUCUCCACUUACUGGCAUUUGAUAGUAAUGUUCAAUAUUUCACUUCUCUCGGUUUCAAUAUUUUCUAAAAGAAUGACCCAGUAAAGCAUUGUCUACCCUUUUGUUUCAACCUUUUUUCAAAAGAGCAAAAACUAAGCAGGUUUGAAAAACUACACGAAAGGAUAAAGAAUAGCCUUCUCUUCCCCUGCUUUGAAAGGCAUGGUUGAGCAUUUUGAUAAGUCCCCACACAGUCAAGGGGUGAGGAGCAAGUUUAUAAUGGAGAUGGUGUGGAGAUGGUCAAACACACUUUCAUGAAUUGAACUGAAUAUGAAAGGAAGUUAGGGUCUGUUGAUUUAACCUGCCUCCCAGUGACCCUAAUCCAGAUGUAAUGUCCCCUCCUUCUGUGCCCCGCAGCUGCAAAGGAAGUUCUCGUGGGCAUUUACUGGACAAAAAGAGCUCAUUUGGCAUGUAGUAAAGUCCCCACCCCCUGCAGAAGGAGAACUUCUCAAAGGAGAACUUGGCAAACAAAAAUGUGCUAAUCAAUGCACAUUUUGAUUUGUUGAUAUUAUGAACAUAGAUGGCUGUUGUUGCAGGAUACAAAUCUAGGGAAGUGAUACAAUGUGAAUCCGAAGGACCAAACGCAAACCUGAUACGUUGCCAGCAGAUCUGAGGAGGGGAACCCUCCAAGCUGAAAUUUCAAAAUGAACUUUUCGAGCCAAGCCAUUAAUAAUCGGUGCUAAUCUUCAAUGAAUAUUUCUCCCCCUCCUCACUUUGAAACCUGGCCCUUUGCAAUAACUUAUGUAAAGGAAUAUGUGGGAUGGGACGGGAGAGAAGGCAGAGAAGCAGCAGCCCAGCUGAUGUUGGAGAGGAACCAAGACCAGAUGGAAGGUUGUUUUCAUCUCUCUCUCCCCCCAUAGAUUUAUGGCAAACUAAAAUAUUGCGGAGUGCAAGGUGGACUGUCCACAACACAGGCGAGGUAAUCAGAUUAACAUUGCAGGAUACUGUGUCACACUCACAAGGAUGAUGUCAUUCAUUAAUUCCCUCCAAUAUGGAUUUGUUUGGGGCACUUCUCCCAAUGUGGCAUGUUGCUUUCCCUAAUAAUUACUCGACAGCAUUGGGUGCUGACGUCCAACCAGAUCUCUGGUAAUUUAGCAGGUAGAUCUCUGCCAGUGUGUAAAUAAAUUCCAUCCACAGCUACUUUCAUUAGUAUCUUAUGUUUUAGUGUAUCUCUUGUCCUGAGCAAACCUGGUGUGUGUGUGUGUGUUGCAUCCUGCAGACAAAGCCACGAGACGAAAUUCAGAGUGUUAAAAUAUCAGAGACCUUCUGUACCUUAUAUUCCCGCAUGUAGUUAGACAUCAUAAACCAGUUUCCUAAAGCUUGCCUAUAAAACUGCUGGCCUUAGUAUCUCAUGACAAAGGGGGCAAUUUCUUGGUGCAAAGAAAGCCUUGCCUUUGAUUAAUGUUAAGUGCUGUGCCUUUUGGGCGGUCUCGUAUUAUUAUAUAUUAUAUAGAGAGUAAAUAUAUGCUAUAUACCUUCUUUAAAUUAUUGUCCUCCUGGGUUUACAUUGUUUCCCUAGGCCAACUGGCAAUCAAUCAGGUUUGUAGGGCCUCACACCGCUCCUUUUGUGUGUUUUCCAGCUGACUCUGGUUCUGUGUGGUUUUGGUUUAGCCUCCUCUCCCUACCUAUAAAUACAAAAUAGCUUUACUUGGAAAUCUUCCAAGGAGCAAUGACCUUCUGUUCUGGGAGUUCAUAGACUAUUUGAAUUUGAAAGGUACUAGUAGAUUAUCUAGUCCAAUUGCCCACCCUAAGGCAAGAUGUCUCAUGCCUAAAACAUCCCAGGUAUUGCCUGUUCUACUUCUUCCCUUAAACUCUCUAAGAAUGGAUAUUCUGGAGCCACCUUGGCAUCCUGUCUAACAACAACAACAACAACAACAACAACAACAACAACAACGUGUUCCAUCACUUCUUCUGGAACCCUCAGUGUCUAGGGUACCCCACCAUUUUCUUCUUUUUUUAUAGUAUUAAUUUAUCACAUUUAUUUCCUGCUCUUCUAUGUCAUUUGUGGCCAAGAUUGUGUCCUCCAGCUAUUGCCAUACUACAGUUUCCAUCUUCCCUGAUUGGAUGGUUGAGAGUACCACUUUAGGGCUUCUGUGAGACCAGGUUGCUGGACUAGAUAGGUCUUUGGCCCUGAUCUAGUAUGGCUCUUUUGUUCUAAGAACCAUGUUUCAUUAGUCUUUUUAGAAAAAGUCAUGUGGGGAUUAGAUAAAGACUCAUGGAGAAGCCUGAGCAGUUGGCCUGAGAUGGUUUACUCCUAAUAAAGACACGUUGGCGGCCAGAAAUCAUUUCCCUCAAGAUCAUUCGCUGGUCUAUUAUAAUUGUUCUGCUAUCUAUUAUUUGCUCAGCUAUAUGCCCUGAUACAGAGGCCAGUGUGCAAUUCCCUGGCUCAUCCUUCCACUUUUUACAUUACCAACCCAGGCUGUGAGCCAAUUCAAGUAUUAGUCACCCCACAUGGAGUCUAUUAAAAAUGCUUGUGUAUUUGUUUUGGGUAUACCAUAUGAGUCAGCCCAAUUGUGUGGGAACAUUUUCACGCCAGCACUAGCUGUCACCAGGGACAUGUGCUGUGGCGCCACUGAUACGGAGAUUUUCCAUGGUGCUUGAUAGACAUGUAUGUAGCAAAGACCAAUCCAACCAUGUCCAGUAAUGGGGAAGCUUGAGCAGGGUUGCAUUUGUAACAACUAGUCCAUGGAGUGAUUCAAAUUUUAAUUGGUCCAGCCUUUGGACCUCCAGCUUGAAUUGUCUUGGAAAAAAUGCCAAGUCGGUGGAUGGAGCCAGCACUAGGGAUGGGCAAAUCAUUCUAUUUUCAACCUGUGUCACUUUUGCACAUGUUCACCCAUAAAUCCUUUCUGCCCUGUUUCCACAUCAAUCUGCAUAAGAAAGUUCCACAUGGCAAUUGACAUUCAAAUAGAUAUCUGAACAUACUUUCUCUCAAAAUAUGCUUCAAAAGCUGUUCAAUAUUGUUUCCCCCUUUUAGUUCUUUUAAUGGAUGUUGAGCCAGCAUUCUGCCGAAAUGUUCAAGAAGUGCAUGUUGUGUUCUGGUCUGAUGCUGGAACCCACAGGGAAAGUGGCAAGGCUGUGGGACCAUGGACAGUUCUGACCUGAAGAUGGGCACUCCUUCAUUCUAUAGCCUCCCACCUGGGGAGUUCCUAGUACUCCCAGACUGGUGAUGUGGAAUGAGAGGCAUCUAGUUCUUAAGGCUCAGGGAAAGGUGUCUAUGGUACCUCAGGCUCUGCCGCUAUGGGCACUGUUGGUCUGGGAGAUUGCUCUGGUUCUUGUCGAAUCCCCUCAGGCAAAAUGGUCUCCCUAUCUUCUGCAGUCAGCUCUGACACCUGGUCCUCUGGAUCCCUUGACUCUUUUGUCCCGAUCACAGGGGUUCAUAACACCAUAAAUCCCAGUGGGUAACUGAAUUUCAGUUGGUGUAUUGUCCUGGAAGAUGAAAAUCAAGUCAGUUUGUCCUGGAAGUGUGCUAAGAUCCAAUUCCUGAAGCAUUCCUAAGGACCUAUGAACCUUUGACAGUUUGGGAGCAGAACAAGCUUGGUCAUAUGGAGGAAACUCGUAUGUCAGAAUGAUGACUUAGAAUGGAAUCUGGAAGGGUGAGGGUGAGGCAACCCAUCUUGGAACAUAGAAUGUCUUCAAGGCAGAGCCUGAUAGAGUCCUCCACGAAUUUGUCUAAUCCUCUGUCAGAGCCACCCAACAAUAAUAUAUCACUUGUCUUAGCUCAUAUAUGAGAACCUUGUAUUGCAAAAAUGGGGUUGGGUCUGAGGUCUCAUUCCUUGCUUAUUAGUUAGGAGACAUGUUGUCACAUCAGCAUCAGCAUUUGUGAGAAGAGAUAUGAAGAAGAAAAAGAAGAAGAAGAAGAAGAAGACAAAAUUGUAUAUGAAUAUGUUAUAAAAAUAUACUGUCUCUUUAAAAAAAUGUUCAAUAUAAGCAAUGAGCAGAAAACCAUCUCUGAUAAAUGGUCUGCAAUCACCUCAGAGCUUUAUGAAACUGAAUAGGAAUCUUUCCAACAAGGCCAGUAAACUUUGUAUUUUUUUCCUCUUACUUUGGUUUCUCUGUCCUCCCUUAGUAGUCCUAAUGUUAAAAGAAUGUUCAACUGUAGCUAGUAUUUUUCAACCAAACACCAUGAUUUUGUCAGUGUGCUCUGUAUUCUUAAAAGUCUUUGGUUUUUUCCUGGGGUACGUAUUUUUAGAACGGUCUCGGCUUUGCAAUGACCUCAAGUUUUAUCUAUCAAGUAGUCCUACAAUUGUUCCUCUUUUGAAUAAUAGCAUGCCAUUGGUUUGUAGCUGUUCUGCUUUUCUUGGUUUCUUACUUUGAAUUUCUACUGACCACCGUACAGAAGGGUCUGGACAAUUGAGAGCAGACCAUAUCAAAAAUUGUGGUGAAACCUUCUACUACGUUUAGGCAGGCAGGAGUCAUGAAAAGAAAGCAAAUGUAAUUUAUAAUUUAACUUCAUUUAUUUAUUUCUGUUCCAUGCCAGUUUCACAUUUACUCAUUCACCAUGAGUCCAUUCUGUCCCAUUUUUAGGAUUUUUUAAAAAAGGGGAAACGUAAAAAAAGUUUGUGACCCUAAAAUAUGCAUUUUUGUACAUGUUAUUUCUGUACAUAUUUCCCCAACAAAAUAUGGAUUUCUCUGCAAAUUUUUUGAAUUGAAAUGGCAUUGAAAAUUUUGAGGAAAUUUAUAACCCACUUGAUAGCUGCGUUUUCAUCUGCAUAUAAGUUUGAGGAUGGCAGACUUGGCCAGCUUCCUUUAAAAUGCAGACUGAAUGAAUUCAUUAUCCAUCCCUACUGCCAGGUAGGUAUGGAGACAAUUUUGGGAUUUCCUGCCUCAGGCAUUCAAAAUAACUUGGUCUUGUGAGUUGUCAGGGGGAGGAGAAGCAUCAUUUUUGCUCUACCUCGGGUAGUAAAAUGUUCUGGGCUGGUCCUGAUACUAAUGCCCUUGGAGUUUUUAGUGCACUUACUCUGGCUACCAAUUGGACAGCGUCUGAAGGACUUACAGCAAUAGAACAAUCUGGCCAUUAUAAAGAAACUCUGUCCUUGGUAUGCCUUUUCUCCGCCUUCUCGGUUUGAUUCCCUGGCACCAUAUUUGUAUACAGACGUGCCUUCACACUGGCCAGAUUGGAUGUGAUGCCCUCUGCCGUACUUGAGGGCAGAUACCAAAAGAUUCCAACUGAGAAACGACUCUGCCCAUGUGGAGAUGGCAAUCUGGAAACAGUGGCUCAUGUUCUCCUGUCCUGUCCCCUUUAUAAAGAUCUGAGGAAUGAGAUCAUCACCCCACUCUUCCUUACCAUCCCAGGCCGCCCAUCUGUGGCCACAUUGUUCUUUCUUUUAUCAGAUCAAAAUGACAGCAAAGGUUGUCCGGUUUAUCGAGGGUGCAGUGAGAUUAAAGACCACUAUCUGAAUGAUUAUCUUUGUCAUCUGAUUGUCCUUUUUACCCAUUGUUGUCUUUUUAAUUGUAUAUAUUGCUUGUUUUAUGUUGCUAUGGCCGUUGGCUAAUGCAAAUAAAGUUUAUCUAUCUAUCUACUCUGGCUACCAGGAAUAAUGGAUUGCAGUGAUUCAAGAUGGCAGCAACAAUAGCCAAGGCAUUCAAGGAAGCUUUGUUAUGCCAUGUUCCUUGGGAAUUUUUCCUAUAUGUAUCGUUCAUAAGAGGUUCUGUGAUAUCUCUUUGGACCUCUUAUCUGAAAUUAGCGUUAUGCGGCCGCAGGGUGUAUGUAAUGUCUGAAAUCAGGCCAAGGUGCUUAAUCAUGAAGGCCAACAUAGUUAAUUAUUCUCAAAUAUGAUCACCAAUUGUCCUAAAGAAAGGAAGCCAGGGAAGAGGAGACCAGAAUAACCUGCUAUUGAUGUAAUCUUAAAUAUCAGGAAAGAUCCCAGAGUGAUUAAGGAGCAAUUUCCUGCUCCAUGUUGAAAUAUAGCCUGUUUUCAGGUCAAGUGCAAGUCAAAUGGAUGAGCAGGAUUGGCAGCUAGCAAACAGAGAACAUAUUCUGUUUCUUAUAAAAGACCCCAGGGGGAUACUUCAUUUAAUGUAUGCAUCUCUCAUGUAUGCAUCUCUCAUUUUCUACUGCAUUCAUUAUAAGCUAUAUUAAUGGUCAAUCUUCACAAAAAUAGCUGAAAAUGCCUCCCCUCCACCAAUGCCUUUUUAUAAAUAUCUUAAGAGUUUCCAAAAGAAAGGUCACUAGAAGACACAAUGACAAACCUGCAUAGGCGUAUUACUCUGAUAUUUCCUGUGAAACUCUUAAGAUCACUUUGGGGCAAAAACAUGGAAAAUGCUUCCGGAAUGCCCACUGGUGAUACAUAAUGGGGCUUUCCUCUAUUUCCUCCCUCCAUGUGCCCACCACACCUCACCUAAAUUUACUCUGGAUGACCAGGAGAAGCCCAAGAAUGGGGGGGGGGAGGGCUGGAUUGUUCCCUCCAACAAGCUGAAGAGUGAGACACUGGAUUGUGAAUUUCAAUGUGAUGAAAUGUUAGGGUGAAAAACUUUACAAGAAAUUUAAAAAUAUAGAACUAUGAUAAAACAACUCGAUUGUCACGAGAAACCAGGAAAUCUCAUAAAAAGCAGUAAAUUCAAUCUCCCCACCUGCUUUUCUCAAAAAGGCUCUGUAACUGGCUAAGCAAAUUGUAACCUAAAAGAUAUCAGGGCUUGCAAGAAAUAUGCAGAUUUCCAUUUACCAAAUGUUCGUAGAUCUUCAAACCUAAGGCAGAAAUGGUCAUGGACAAUAGGAAUCAUAGUCCAAAACAUUUGGAGGGUAGAAGAAGAAGAAGAAGAAGAAGAAGAAGAAGAGUUUGAAUUUGAUAUCCCGCUUUAUCACUACCCAAAGGAGUCUCAAAGCGGCUAACAACCUCCUUUCCCUUCCUCCACCACAGCAAACACUCUGUGAAGUGAGUGAGGCUGAGAGACUUCAGAGAAGUCUGACUAGCUCAAGGUCACCCAGCAGCUGCAUGUGGAGGAGUGGAGAUGCGAACCCUGUUCACCAGAUUACGAGUCUAUUGCUCUUAACCACUACAUCACACGUUCUAAGGUAUCUCUGGUCUCUUUCAGCAUUGAUCUGCCUUGCGUCCCCUGCAUAGGCCCUCGGUGACAUCAGAACAACUAAAAUAAUCACUAUUCUUCCAUUGGUCCAUGGUGAUCAUAUAGCUGUUGCUGUUGGAAAAAAAUACACUCUUAACACUCCUCCACUGUGAUAAUUGUAGAAUCGCUAUAAAAUAGAGGUGUGUUUUGGCAGUCAUGUUGAUAGAAUAAUUUGGGGAGGGAGGUGUUGAAGGAGAAAUGUAUUUUAAAUCAUGGUUUCACACACACACACACACACACACACACACACACACAGGUGUUCAGCAACACAUGAUUUAUGAGAUUGGCUUGAGAGCCUCCUUGUUAAUAUUGUAGCCUCAAAUGUGCUUUCAAAGCGGUGUUAGAAAAAUCAACCAAUAAAAGGCAUCUAUAGCUCUCAUCAGGGAGAAGGAAAAUACAAAGGUUAGUGCAGCUAAUCAUCACUUUUUAUUGCUGAACUGAUUUCAGAGGAGGGAUAAGGCUCUAACCUUAACAAUGCAGAAGAUUCCAUAAAAGAAGUCUCUCCAGCGAAUAUCCUAGUACCAAGAAAGAUAUGCCUUUUGGUUAUUUUUAUUUAAUAACCAACAGCUAGUCCAACAAUAUCAAAGCAAAUGUUUCGCUCAGAUCAAAAAUCAUGUUAUCAGAACAGGAGAGAAAGAUAGUCAAUUUAUCGCAAGCCCAGAAAAACAGAACUUUGCCAGUAAGAGUUAAGAGCAUGUGAUGAAGCAAAGGCAAUAGUGCUUCAGAGCAGGAUCCCAUCAGUCUUUGUUCUGCUGAAAAUAUGAAAAAUAUUGUGUUACCUAUCAGUUCCUGAAAACUGAUGUUCUGCAUUAAGAUUGCUAGAUUUAAAGGCUCUAAGCUUUUAAAAACUCUGCAUUGAAGAGAAACCAAUCUGGUUAACUAUAAAUUAUAAAUCUAUUUACUAUUUAAUUAUAGUUUUUAUAUGUGACAUUAAAACUAUUUGCAAUAGAGACUCUGUAUAUUGGCUUUAGCUGCUACAAUUUACCGUAAAUAGCCAGAACUAAUUCAUUUUAAAAGUGGCUUGCAUUUGCAGAACUGCUCUCAGAAAAGAAGAAGAAGAGUUUGGAUGUGAUAUCCCGCUUUAUCACUACCCGAGGGAGUCUCAAAGCGGCUAACAUUCUCCUUUCCCUUCCUCCCCCACAACCAACAUUCUGUGAGGUGAGUGAGGCUGAGAGACUUCAGAGAAGUGUGACUAGCCCAAGGUCACCAAGCAGCUGCAUGUGGAGGAGCGGGGACGCAAACCCGGUUCACCAGAUUACGAAUAUACUGCUCUUAACCACUACACCACACUGACAUCACAUACAGGCUUCUCUGGGAUGAUGUGUGUCAGGGCUGGGUCAUAGGCAGGUCAGAACAGAGACUCAGAAACUCAAAGUAAAGUCAACUUUUUUAUUCAAGAAAAUAGCAUACAAGCAUUUCAGUGUGAAUUUCUCAUAAUAUACACAUUUUUUGUAUGCCAUUUGCCUAUUAUAUGCAUUUUUUUGCAAAGGAAAGGCUGUCCUGUCACCUUCAUUGCAGGUCUUUAGAUGCAGGCGAAGACUUUCCUCUUCUUCCAGAUAUUUGACAAAACAAUCUAUGGCCUUUUAAACUUUGUGGGGUGUAUUGUUUUGUUUGUUAUUAUGUUGUUUUGUGCUUUUAUGCUGCAAACUUAAUAAAUAAAUAAAUAAAUAAAUAAAUAAAUAAAAUUUAAUAAACUAUAUACACACACACAAAAAUAAAAAAAAUCCCUGUGUCAUUUUCACUAAUCUUUAUGCACCCUUUGCCCAGGUAUAUGUAUUUCUGUAUAUGUUACUUGUCUAGAGAACUGAUGUACAAAUAGCAAAAUUCAGAAAUGUGUGAAUUUUGAAGGAUUGGUUUUGGUUUGCAUAUUUCCCCCCCAGAAAGUGUGAAUUGUCUUUAAAUGCGCAAAUGGAAUCAAAUUUCUCCUCCACCCCUGGUCCUAACUAAGGAUAGACCAUGCUUCUGAUGCAGUGGAUUGUGGCCCACCAAAACGUACGGCACAUUCAAAUUGUUAGCCUUAAGAUGCCACAAGACUCGCUGCUCUUUUUGUGGCAGCCAACUAAUAUGGCUAACCUCUUGGUAGUGGUAGCAUGUUUGUUUUUUUAAAAUUCAACAGUAUCGCCCAAUCCCCACUCCUCCUUCCUUCAACCUGAAGCAUUGUAUGUCAUCCUAAUACUACAGGACUGGGCUGUUAAACACCUCACUUCUCACUAAUGUAAGGUGCAGAAUAACAUAGAGUGGAAAUAAAUUUUAAAAGAUGCUUGCUUAUGGUUUAGCCAAACUUAUGGCUAAACCAUAAGUUUGGCUAAACCAUAAGCAAAGCUCACUCACUAAUAAUGAGGAACCUAGAUAUUCUUAACUGGGUUACUGGGUAGGAACAGCUCAUCCCAGUUUGUUGCACAUAAUGUUAGAGGAUUUUUUGAAGAAAAUUCAUUUAUGUCCCUCCAUUCACCUCUGUUAUUGAACCGUGUCCACGCAGCAAUAAUGACUGGAUCUCAAAUGAAACAAUUAGGCCAGUGCUGACUCAGAUUGUUAGUCUGGCAACAUUGCUCUACAAUCUGUCUGCCAGAAAGCGAUCUCUUGAUGCAAUGCCCUUAUCAAAGGUUUUCUGUUUGUGCACUUAAGACUAAAGGCAUGAGCUUCCAUACCUGGAAUGUAUGGCUCCAUGCCCUAUUCUGAAUGUGCUGAGGGUGACAGUUUCUGUCCUAUAGAUGGUACUAGCAGAAUUGACACGGGACCUUUAACGCUCAAUUAUAUUUCUAGGGUCACACAUUUGACAGGCCAACAAGCCUAAGGGACUAUCGAGUGAAAGCGAACAUUUGGCAUAAAUCUUUGUAAGAAGAUUUAUUUUGCUGACAUUAAUCCAGAGGACCUUGUAUGGAUUUGGAUUACAAUGUUGAAACAUGCACUCCAUUAAAACCAAUGAGUCAUAGGGUUCUACAGCUUCGACCCAUUAGAAGAGGCAGGAGGGUGCCUGAUGCGUUGAUAGUUGCUGAAAUUUGUUCUCAGAAAUGGAAAAGAAGAAGCGUGUUUGGGGCUUUUCUAAGCAAUAAACACAAAAUAUAAACAUACAAUCAGUCAGGGGAUUCUGACAGAAAUAAGACCAAAUGACUCAGAGAUGAAUCAAUGUGAAAUCUUCCUAUAAACAGGGCACAUAUCUUUAAUAUUGAAUCGAGGGCCUACUAGGACUCUUUAACAAAAAUGCUUACAAAUUUGCAAUUUAUAAAGAUUGCCACAAUGAUAAUCCCCAGCAGAGAAGUCAUAAGUGAGUGACUCAAAGUUUGUCCAGUACAGGACUGUGGGGCGGCAGUUCUUGGCUGACCUCCCAGCAGUGAGCGGGAGGUGUAAGGAGGCAGGAAAGUUGGUGCAGUGUAAACACACUGGCAGGAACAUCAUAUUAGCUCCACUGGUGCGUUUGCACAAUGCUGAACUUCCUGCUUCCCUGCCUCCCUCCCUCUCCCUCUCAAUAAGCAGCAGUGACUCACCUGCCAGGAGAUUAGCAAACUGCCACCAUCCACUAUUGACUGUCCUAAGGACAGUCCUAAUAUUGCUAUCUGUACUGGGCUUUUUCUUUUUUUCUUUCAGGGAAAUGCAAUUUAGAGAGCUGUUGCCCAUGGCAAUAUCGUGGGGAAAGGGGUCAAUUAAUUGCUUUUGUACCCAUGAGGAAAAAAUAGCAGGUCUCUCGUGGGUGGCUUAAAUGGGUAUAACCAUGUCAAAGGCUCAAAUCUUUUGCACUCCCCCCCCUCGCCAAAGGUGAGUGGGGAAGAAUAGCUGUUUGACCUGUUUGGUAACAUUGCUAAAGUUAUUUUGAGAUAUAAACGACACAGGCUUUACAUAAGCACUGAAUACAGUGCUUGCUUUCAACAAUUUAAUUCUGAAUUUAUCUAAGCAUGGGCUUUGGUGAUUGUAAAUCUUAGAUUUUUUUCCACGCACCCUUCCGAAGGAUCACUGCUGGCCUUUUGCCAGCUUAAAUACAAUUCAUGAAAGGCAGCAACAAAACUGGUUUACAGUUAAUGAAAUGUGAGUUUGUUGCACGAUUCUGAUCUUCUUCAGCUUCUUCUUAGGCUGCUUUUUUUUCUGCUGUCUCUGCUAACCACCAGACCAUACUGACAAUGCUAUGACUGCCGUUAUAUGCAGUUUCUCAGAACCCUUCUGACCAAUGACUUUCAAUUAUCUCCAUACCUACCAGCCUAUAGCCAUGGACUAAUAAAAGUCACUAGAAUUGGCCUAUCGAAACUUGACCUUUUGAAUUUUCCUGCCUGGAACAUAAACUGACCUGUCUAACUGUGAACCACUAAGACUCAACUGACAAUGAGCAAACUUCAUGUGAAUUAAUAAUUAGGAUUCGUCUAGAGCUGAAACUUUCACCUUUCCCUUUUACACACUGAUAAAAAAUAUUACAUUCAUAACUAUUCUUAUUUUGCAUUAAUUAUAAUUACAACAUUUUUGUUAAUAAAUACUAUAAGCCUUUUAAGAUUCCCCACGGGGUAAUUGGCCUAGAAAUUACUUACAAAUUUGUACCCACAAAUUCCACAUGUGUAGAUUUUAUGCAAAAUUGUUUCCUCUAUUGUGGAUGGGGCACAGUGCCCAAUAUACAAGUAGUGUACUGGAGCCAGAAACUCCUUUUGCACCCCUGCUCACCGUAACAGCUUAAUUUCACAUGGCAGUUAUAAGAAAAUAUGAAGAGAGCUACUGCUCUGUCGAAAUGAAUUUUUCCUUCCUCUGAACUGUCUCGUCGCAGGCUAUUCAGGAAGGCAAGUUCACUGCUGAUGAUGGACUUGAUAUUGCUUGUGCUACAUUGUUCCUAUGGCAAGAAUGUUUUAGUGGAACAUUUAUCUUGCUGCCGCUCCUAUCAGAGCAGCCAACCCAAAGAAAGCCUAAGAAUGAAGAUUGAUUCUAUGCCGUGGGAUUUCUUCCAGCGGCCAUUUAUCUAUGUGAGAACUCCAAAACGUACUGUGAAAAUGAGAGGGGAAAUUACAUUGGUUCCAUUUCUAAGCAAAUAUUUAAUAUGCCAUUAAUUUUGUUCCUCUCUCUUGUAUGUGUAAGGAACCUCAAGUGCUAUAAUUCUCUUCAGAUUGCUUCAGUAAGUGAUAAGGAACAUUCCAGAAGCUGCAUUUUUCAUGUGGGGAAUUGAAGUGGGUACAAAGUAUUGUUGUGUGUUAACAACACUCUCCAUAUUUAUAUAUUUUUGCUGGGAUGUGUGGGUAGCCACAUUUUCUAAGAGAAGGGUGCCAAAACUCUCACAGCUCACUCAACUGCAGUUUGUAGUUCUGUAUUAUUAUUAUGUUGUUGUUGUUGACCCAGUGUGGGUUGCAGCAAUUUAAAAUACAACAUUAAAGACAGUUUAAAAAACAAACAGUCAUGAAAAUGCAAUCACAAAACAUAGGCUGGGUCUUGAACAUUUUCUUACAUUCAUAUUCCACCUUUCUUUCCAAGGCACCAUACAUAUGAUUCCCAAGUGGUCACCCAUCCGAGGACUAACCAGACCCAGACCUGCUUAGCUUCAGCAAGGUAGUCACCUCAUGUGCCUUCACUCCACACUAUGGGGCCAUUCCCCAGAAACAUUUCACUAGUGGUGACAACUGAUAAAUGCUUCCCAACAUUAUGAAACCUGUCUUUCAAAUUACCUUUUUAUUUUACAUUUUUUAUGGCUGAGCAAGGACUCAUUCAUCUAUCUAUAUCAUCUAUCUAUCUAUCUAUCUAUCUAUCUAUCUAUCUAUCUAUCAUCUAUCCAUCUAAUUUGGAAUAAAGGCCACCAGUAAGUUCCCCUCUGCUGCAGCAACUACCUAUAAUUUCACAACCCCCCCUUCACCUUUAGGAAAGAAACAUGGCAAACAGCUGUGCUACCUUGAGAUGAUCUGAGUCCAUCCCCUGUAGCAAAGCUACCUUCAUACCCAUCCAACAAUAAUGGGUCAUUUGAGUGGUAAGAGAACUAGAUCUUGGCUAACUUGAUUUUAGUGAUCACACGGAAGUGUUAUUUAUUUAAGGCAGAGGGCCUUCUCGGUAGUGGUGCUUGCCCUGUGGAACGCCCUCCCAUCAGAUGUCAAGGCAAUAAACAACUAUCUGACUUUUGGAAGACAUCUGAAUGCAGCCUUGUUUAGGGAAGUUUUUAAUGUUUGAUGUUUUAUCGUGUUUUUAAUAUUCUGUUGGGAGCUGCCCAGAGUGGCUGGGGAAACCCAGCCAGCUGGGCGGGGUAUAAAUAAUAAACUAUUAUUAUAUUAUUUUUAUUAUUUCUCUCCUGUAUAAGAGCAUCAAUGAAGGUGAGAUGAAACUAAAUUAACAAACCUGUCAUCCGGUUAGCAGCUAAUCCCUUUAUUUAGCCCAACCCAAGAAAAAAACUUGACAUUGUCUCAUCUUAUGAUUCUGGCCAGGAAUAAAAGGAGCAAGCCAGAAUACUGAGGGUGAGAUCCACCUUCCAUUAAACUCAGUGACGAAAUGCUCAUUGACCUUACUGUAGGCGGAUUGCACCCUGAGAGGCGAGCCUGCCCCUCGUAACAAUGUCAUACAUACGCUUUUGUUUAGACAACUAAUUAAGACCAUAUGGCGCGAUAGCUUGCAUUGUUGUCUGUCAGGAUCCAGACGGAGGGCAUCAACUGGUCUCCCCAAAGCCACUGAACAGCUAGAUAACAGCUUUCGAAGGAUCCAGGACUCGGGGUUUAGAUCUUAAUUGAUAAGCAAUGGUUCAGAUUAUGUUUCCUUGGCUGCGCACGCUAACUGUUGUCACUGGCUUUCUUGGAAUGCGACAAAAAAAAAUCGCAUAGAAGCCAAAUUCUCUGCUCCACCCUGCUCCCUCCUUCAACAGAGAGCUGUUUUUACUCAGGCUUUUGGGUGUUUUGGCUGACACUGCACAGCACACUGGGAGACGUUGGAGGGGUGAGGGUGGAGGCAAGUAUAUCUGAGACCUGAGUUCCAGAGGUUAAGAAAACAGCUUUGACAAUGCACCCAGCCUUCACCCGUCUCUUGUCUUGUGCACACACGUGUGCUUCAAGGACAGCUUGAUGCUGCCCUGUCCUUCUCCGAAUAUUUUCAGCGGACUUUUCUGCGUGCGCCCUACAGUACUUUUGCAGUUUCAAAAUGAAGCAGCAGUCCAUGUAGAGGAUAUAUUCUUCACAUGAGUGAACACAGUGAAACUUCUCUCUGAAGUUUCUAUUGCUUUGUCAAUCAGGGAGGUGUUACUGUUUUAGGUUUGUUUGUUUGUUUUUGCGGUACUGAAGCUAUCUGAGGAUACUGUGUGUGUAAAACGAUCCUAAAUGUAGGCCCUGAAUGUGUUAUUUGGUUAUUUUAUGUAUGGCAUAUUUUACAGACCACUCCUGCAGCCAAAAUUGGCCUUCCUCAUUUAUUUACUGAUUUUUUGUGUGUGGCAUUUUUAUUGUCAUUUUGUAUGUUACUAUAUUUUUAUGAAACUACACUCUGUAAAUAUUUAGAAACAAUUAGCUGAAUAAAGACCCAGACCCUGAACCUUGACUAACAACAGUUCAUCAGCAGCAGCUUUUAAAAACCAAACAACUUCUUGCUGAAGUGCAAGAAAAUCCAGAAGUGAAACAUUUCCACGGACAGAUUCUUUCCUGAUUCAGGGUGUAGAGCAGGGGUAGGCAACCUAAGGUCCGUGGGCUGAAUGCGGCCCAAUCACCUUCUCAAUCCGGCUCGCAGACGGUCAGGGAAUCAGCGUGUUUUUACAUGAGUAGACUGUGCCCUUGUAUUUAAAAUGUAUCUCUGGGUUAUUUGUGCGGUCUGCCUGGUGUUUUUACAUGAGUAGAAUGUGUGCUUUUAUUUAAAAUGCAUCUCUGGGUUAUUUGUGGGGCAUAGGAAUUCGUUCAUUCCCCCUCCCCGGGGAAAAAUAUAGCCCGGCCCACCACAUGGUCUGAGGGAUGGUGGACUGGCCCACGGCUGAAAAAGGUUGCUGACCCCUGGUGUAGAGUCUCACUGUUCCCUUCAUUUUUUCCUCUCAUGUCCAACCACAAUCCUGGUGUGUAUGCAUGCGUCCUUGUGUGUGUUUGUUUAAAUCACUAUUACAAAAACUUCCUGGGGCCCUUUUGGCUUUUCUAAAUCGCUAAUUGCUAAUCAGAAACAUAUAAGAAUUUAUUCUGGCCAUUGAAAAUACUUUGCAGAUGUUCACUUGGAGAUACAUGGCUUUAAUAUUUAGUAUUAUAUGACUGAACACUAACCGUUUUGACAUGCAUCUUUUUGUGCAAGUUUGUCAUUUGGAAAAUCACCAAGAUCUACAAAGUCAGGAUUUUUGUGUGCUCAUCGUCACUCGGGUGGAUGAAGAAGGGCUAAGAAUGAGUCAAGAGUUCAAGUUCAAAUAUAGAAUAGACUCACAGGAGUCAGCAGCUUUCAUAACUUCAUAGCUUGUAUGCAUAGCUUCAAGUGGAUGCAUUUUUGCCUUAGAUAUGGCAGGACUGUAAGUUCUGCAUAGUUAUAACAACAGCAGAAUACAGAGAAUAUAGUGUAUUGUGUUAUAUAAAAACCAAGCAUAAUUUUUGAAUUCCAAACUGAAAAGGGGAAUUUUUGUAUCAUUGGUUUUCAGGAAAGCAUUCGUAAGGCUAUAAUGUCACAAACAGGCCAGUAACACAACUGUAAAUGCUAUGAAUUUCAGCUUCAUUUGACCUCUUCUUAGAGUGAAGAGAAUAAAGGGGGAUUGUAUGCCUUAAGGAUGUAGAUUUAAACCAGUUUUAAUAGUUACCCCCCCCCCCCGCCCCAGGAACCUUGGGAACUGAAACAUUUUGAAGGGAACCAAUAAUUUCUCAUUCUCAGCAUCCUCACUCAUCUACAGUUCCCAAGAUUCUUUGAGAGAAGCCUGGUGUACAGGAAUUCAUAUGAGAUCCUCUCUGUACACAUUUGGCUCUAGAUUUUCAGGUUCCCAAUGACCGGAGUUUGUGAAUUGCCAGUCUCCCACUUUUGAUUUCCAUUUUUCAUUCAAAAUGCUGAACAAAUACAUUUUGCUUCAGUUUUUGGUUUGCAUGUCUCUUUUUAAAAUCUGGCCACCUAGGUGCAUCAACAUUAUUUUGUGUGGAAUUUUAAUUAGGAAUGAUGGAUUCCUAAACUUCUAUUCUAGUGAUUUGGGUUUUCUGCUAUGGCUGUCCUCUAUCAAGAAAAGAGCAUUGUGAAAUUCAAAAUGGAAUUUGCUCUUUAUCCCUCACUCAUCAUUGCUGCCUACAUUAUUCCAUUGAUCCCCUACUUUUGCUGUUGAGUACCAACAUACAAUUUUCGAAUGAAACCAUUUAUGAAAGUAACAUCCUCUCUCUAGAUGGCAAAAAAAUGCUUUCCUUUAUUGUAAUUUUUAAAAUUGUGGUCCAGCUCCAACACAGUGUAAAUAAACAAACUGCCUCCUGUACAGUUCUAGAGGGUGAAGAACAAAUGGAAUCAGGAGAAACUGUCUUCGCCUUUCCUCUAGGAACAUUCUGGGGAUCUGCACUGGGGAUCCAACACAUUUUCUCAGUUUCUCCAUUUCUUUCUCUUCUUCUUUGACCCCCAAACUUAGCUGAAUUUCCUGGUUCAUGUGUUGCAUUAAACAACAGUUAAAAACAAACCAUGGUUUACUGUGAAUGAGCAGCAUGGUGCUGAAAAGUUCUUGUGGUGGUCUUCCAGUGCUCAUGCUGUACUGCCAGGAAUCAAGCCAGCAGCUGGCUUAUCAUGAUGUCUGAACCUGCGAUCAUGGUUUGUUUCCUCCAAUCAAUCCAAGAACAAACCUUGUAUUUUGUUUGGAAAGAAGCAAAUGAUGAACCUGGCUUCACACACCACGAGUUGGACUCUGGCUUGUCUCAUUGAGGUGCAGAAGAAGAAGGAAAAGACUACAGUGAGAACUGUCAGCACCAUACACCAGUACACUGUUUCUUCUUCUUCUUCUUCUUCUUCUUCUACUACUACUACUACUACUGCCCUAUACUUGGGGGUCUCAGGGUGGUUCACAAAAUAAAAUCAAGAUAUAAAACCACAAAAUACACAAUAAAAAUAACAACAACAACCCAAUAGCUCCUUGUUAGUUUGUUUCUAGCAAACCAGGCCGAUGAGUCCAUUCAUCCUCACUUGCAGUGGAAAUUCUGUAAACAUAAAACUGGAAAAAUCACAAACGUUGCCAUUAUCAAUGCCGUUCUGAUCAGUGUUCAUUUGAAGUAGCAUUUAUUACUUGUCACAUUCUUAAACUGAAUUUGUGCUUAUUUCUUGCUGUUUUACAAAUGUAAGAUGGGCCAAGCAUGAUAUCUUUAUGACCAAGAGCUACCAAUCUCACUUUAGGGUUCUCUAAUUUCAUUUUGGAGAGAACUUGGUGGUGCAAUGCUGAAUUGGUAAGACUUGUUCUGAAACGGAAUUUCAGCUCACUUUCACUCCCUCAAUGCGACUACUUCGUCAAAAUGUGACUUAAGCAUUCAGUAGAACAUUUUUCUGUUUCAUAUGCGCUACCUCUUCUAUAUAUAUACAUUUGCUAAACAGAGCAUUAUGUUACUAAGUAAAGGCAAAAAAAGUGUGAUCAAGGAGAAUUGGAGUUGCCAUUCAGCCAAUUUCUAAACAAGGUGGUCUGCUCUCUCUUGCUCUCUCUGGUUUUUUUUUUUUUUAAAUCUUUAAUGUAAAUUGGGCACAUGCUGCCAACCUUUUUGAUGUUUGUCUGGCUUUUCGGCCAAAUGGCAUCUCAUUACUUCAGCUAGACUUCCUGCUGUAGCAUACUGCAAAGGAACACAACAGAUCCUUCUUGGAUGGGGUCAACGUAAGUGGUGUGCAAACAAGAUAAGCAGCUUUGCCAAUGCAUUAUGGCUUAUUAUCUCUUGGCAUGGUGCUCUUCCCACCAUAUGCAAGUACUGGAGAAGAUGAAGAGUCUUCCAAGCCAGGGCUGCAAGACCACACUCAACUGUAGUUUACAAUCUUACUCUGAAGGGCUUAUUCAAACCAUAGCUUGCCAGUAUGGAUGUAACAGGAUAUUAUGGUUUGAUCAAACCACGAACUUCUCCAUGUACACGAAGAAAGGAGAAAAUGGGUUGAAGGAUCAUGGGUAGGAGGAUCGGAAAUAUGAUGUCUGAAUGCAAUUCAUGUCUUAUGUUGAAGCUGACUUGACAUUAGCCCUGUUCUGAUGUUUUGCCAAAUGUGCAGAGAGGGCAGGUACAGUAUACCUGAAGGAGUGUCUCCACCCCUAUCGUUCUGCCCAGACACUGAGGUCCAGCUCCGAGGGCCUUCUGGCGGUUCCCUCACUGCGAGAAGUGAGGUUACAGAGAACCAGGCAGAGGGCCUCCAUGGUAGUGGCGCCCGCUCUGUGGAAUUCCCUCCUAUCAGUUGUCAAGGAACAAAACAACUAUCUGAUUCCAAGCUAAACCCCUAGCACAAUUAUUAUAUGGGGCUCAGAUUUGGACAGGCACUCACCUUGGAUCGAUGGAAGUUGUCCAAUCAAAGUUCUUAAGGCAAAAUUUCUCUGUACCACCCUGUGUCUCAAAUGCAUCAUUGCGCCUAGAGGAUAAUCCUCCAUCAGUAGAAUUAUGGAUCUGGCGUAGGACACUUAACUAUUGGCUUCGUCUAAACUCAAAUCCCCCCGGUCUAAUAUCUCUAGUGCUGCAAGAUUGUCACAAGAGCUCCUGGACUAAAAUUGUCUAUCAAAAACUUCACUCUUGUGGUGUAUCACAACAGCUACUCACUUUGGGUUUUGGUAAAGCAAACAGUUUAAUUUGUCAGCGCCUCAAUGAUAUCGAGCAUCAGAACAAUUUGGCCACAAUAAGGAAAUUUUGCCCAUGGUAUGAUUAUUUUCCACCUUCCCAUUUUGACUCUCUGGCACCCUAUCUGCGUAACCUAGCAAUUCUAAAACAUAGACACACUUUUACUCUCGUAAGAUUGAAUGUACUGCCCUCGGCUGUACUUGAGGGAUGAUUCCAACAGAUUCCACACGAAAAACGCUUAUUCCCCUGUGGAGAUGGCAGUACCGAAUCGGUGGCGCAUGCCCUUCUGGCUUGCACUCUUUAUAAAGACUUGAGGAAUGAGAUUAUCACCCCUCUUUUAUUGUUCAUUCCGGAUCGCCCAACCACUGCCACCGUGUCCUUUCUCUUGGCAGAUCAAGAAGAGCAGGUGACAGCAAAGGUUGCAAGGUUUUUAGCUGGGGCAAUCAGAAUAAGAUCCACUAUUUGAUUACUGAUUCAAAACCCUAAAAUGUAUUUUAUAUACUUUGUAUAUUGUAUUGUUGUUUUAUUGCUAUGAUCGAUGGCUGACGCAAAUAAAGAUUCAUUCAUUCAUUCAAACAAACAACUAUCUGACUUUUAGAAGACAUCUGAAGGCAGCCCUGUUUAGGGAAGUUUUUAAUGUUUGAUGUUUUAUUGUGUUUUUAAUAUUCUGUUGGGAGCCGCCCAGAGUAGGCGGGGCAUAAAUAAAUUAUUAUUAUUAUUAUUAUUAUUAUUAUUAUUAUUAUUAUAACAUGCAAACCCCACCCCCAGUAUCACUGAAUAUGCUGGCCUAACUCCAUUCCUUCCCAAGUUGAGAGGGGAGGCCUGAAGGGAGAUUGUGAGCUGAUUCAUCUGAAUAUGUUCAGCAUCCUCCUCAUAAUAAAGAUCCUGGGCCUGUAUCAGGGUCCCCAAUGCAAUUGGGAUUCUAAUUGUACUUACCUGAAAGGGUUUAGAAUUCAAAUCUUACCUCUCAAGAUCUGAAGCAGAGCUAGCAUGUGCCAGGAAAUUCAGUGUAGGGCUUGUCUGUGUGCUCCUCCCCCCUCCACACUUUUAGCUCACCUGCAUUCAGGUGAAUAGGGCUAUUGUUACUCCUUAAAAUAGGGCGUGUAUGCAUUUUAAGUUUAUUCAAAUUAAAAUUAGCACCUUGUGGGAAAGGAGGUGAAUAGAACAUCCUUUAAAAAAAUGUUAAAAGGGAUGGCAAAUCGUAUUUUAGAACUCCCAACUGGAAUGUCAUCAAAGGAUUCUGGAAGAGCAAACUCUUCCCUGUAUUCUAUUUACAUAGAAUUAUUUUUAGCCUGAAUUGCUACCAGUCAAGGUUGUAAGGUCUGGUUCUCAUUAACAGCAGACAGAGUGGUAAACCCAUGUCUGGGCUACAUGAGUGAAUGUUCCACCAUACCAAAAGAUUCCUUGCAAACAGAAAGGUAGUGUGUCAAGAAGGAAGAGUUCUAGACUAAACGUCUCCUUGAAGUUCUAGGUUUCUAUGUGCAUAAUUUUUCCCCUUAAUGGGGGAAGCAUUGAAUCAUGUGAACCCUUGCAAAAUUAUUGUGCGUCUAAACCAUAAGUAUAUGGAAAACAAAAGCAUAUAAUGGGCUCUAAUUUCAUAGAUUACCUUUCUCACACUAAUUGAGCCACCUUUCUUAUACAGUAUUGUUAUUCAAACAUUCCAGUUAUCCUUGCUUAGGAAAUAGGUGUACAUUUUUUUUUAAUCAAAUGUAUACAAUACAUGGCUUUGUUUGCUAUUGGGAUUUAGUUAAUAUCAACAGACAUUGCUGAAGGAAAUAAACUUUUGAUUUUUAAAAAAAAGUCUUGCGUUUUAAUUUCAAGCUUAUUCCUUUCAUAAUAGGUUCAUUUUUGAAUUCUUUAUACUUAUCACUAUUACAUGCUGUUGUAGGGAAUGCCCUCUAAAUGAGCUGGCAGCUCUUACCUGACCAGUCCCAACACUAGGAGUUAAUUAGCAGAAAAUGUGGAUGCAAAGGGAUUCCAUCCAAUUGCAUUAGGCUGGGUUGCUGAAACAAAGAAAUUUAUCAUUUUGAAAGUUGCUAAUUGUGCCUGCUUUUCUGUUUGGAGAAGGGAGUCUGUAGGUCUGGGCCAGUCGCCCUUGGGGACCUAUCUGUUAACUUACUGUCACCUUCUCUUGAGAUACCAUCAUCUUGUAACACUGAGCUAUAAAAUUGUAAUUGCAGGUCUUUUGAAGCAUACAGCAAAAGGACACAAAGUUUGUUUACACGAAGGAAUUCGCAAGAAAACCAAAGUAAGUGGAACAUGUGGCUACCUUAGGUAUGAAGAAUAAGACCUGUCAGUUGCUCAGAGUAUUUCAUCCAAUUUAUCCACCCCCUCAAUUAAUAGCUAGCACAACAUUGCAUGGAAGUCUUCAUUAAACAAUGGGGUUCUGUUAAGAUAGCUAUGUGUCCUCUUUAUCGAAGACUGUCAUGUAUUUCAGAGGCUACUAAAGAGAAAGAACUUACAAGAAAGGAGAGCAGGGGCCUUGAAGUUACCCAUCAACAGUUACUACCUCAAAUGAGCAAACACAUAGGUCACCUGGUCUUCCCCCUACAGUGAGAUGUAUUUGUAUUUAAAGGAUAAUAAUUAAUUCUAAAUUUGCACCUGUACAUAUAAAUCAGCAUAUGCAAUUUUUGUGCAAAUCUUGCCCUCUUCUGUGGUUAUGCAUUUCUUUGGUUCUGGUAAUAGGCAAUUGGACCCCACAGAUUCUGUUCAUUAAGUGAAGACAAAGGCCAUUUCUGUAGCCUGCAGCACACACCAAUUAACCUUUAAAUUAACUCAAAUCCUCUUGAUAUUUUGCAAAGACUGUUGCUACAGUCCUAUAAAUACUUGAUUCCAAGUAUGUUCUAUUGAUAUUAGUGACUCCAUGCCUUUUGGAAUUGCAUACAUGCAAUUUUGGGGAGGAUUCAAUUGCAUUUUGAAAUUUGAGGUUUUGAAUGACUUGUUGGACAGUUGACGUUCUUUGUAUUCUGCUUUUUGCUCAGUCAGGAAAGAUACAGUAGUGCUGGAGAGUUCCUUUGCAUCAUCACAUUGUAAGAGAAGAAGAAGAAGUCUAUAGAGAAAAUGGAAGGUGAAACUUGAGUGGAACUUCUAAGAAUUAAAUAUAUGCUUCUGAGCACAUGGUAAAUACACAUUUGAUUGUGUAUACUGUACAUGAGUAUGAUUCUAUGUAGGUCUGGCCCCACCCACUUUUGAAUCUGUCUUUUCCUGCUACUGAAAUGUUCCCCCCAAUGGUUUUCCAUCAGGGAUUCCCCCACUUCUGGUUUAUAAAAUUCUGAUAAGAGCAGAAUUCAGAAAUAUUUAUAGACAGGAGUAGCUUUGGUUGGAUCAACCUUCACAUCAUAAGAUUGAAGAUACUAUAUGUUGUAUUUCAUGGACAAAACGCUAGGUUAUGGAUUUGGUAACCCAACAGUGCUUUGGAUAGGAAAAGAGACACAUAUUUUGAAUGCAAUUGCCCUAUGUGUGGUUUGGUUUGGUUUGGUUUGGUGUUUUUUUUAAAAAUGUCAUGAUACAAUGAAGUUUUUUUAAACUAUAGUUACAUUUUUGUGUGACAUUUCUGUUCUUCCUAGUUUUGCCAUUUGAAAAAGAAAAAAUCUUUGAUCCUACAUUAGCUGAUUGCUUUCAUCCAUAUGGCUUUCUCCUCCCCAUUUUUCACACUUCCCACUGUGUGUGAUAGCAAUUUAGUUUGCAGUGGGACGUCCCUCCUGCUGCUUUUGAUAUUUUAAGAUGCUAUGGCUCAGGCAAGGGGAACUACAUUUUUCUAUGCAAAGCUAAUAAUUCUCCAGAAUGCAUGAAAGAAUCGGAAAUGCCACUCAGAUCACUCCACAAGGAAUUGCCAGAUUUUUCAAAAUGAGUGACAACAACAAAACAAUACUAUGCGAAAGUUCAUUAGAGUUACCACUUAUAGAUGUAUAGUUAUUCAGACAUGCAUCCUAUUUUACUUUAGUCAAUGAAACUUAUUCCCAUAGGACUGCAUUCUUAGAAACUAUCUUGCUCAACAAGUCUCUUUUUUGCAGAACAAAAAUUUCCAGUGUAUCUUCAUUUACGACCGUGGCAGUUUGUGUUAAAAAUACAUGUUAUGCUGGGUUUUCCAUGCAAUUCUCUACAUUUUCUUAAUGAAAGGCAGCUUUGGUAGGCUACAGUUAGGAGAGGAGUGGAGGUGGAUGGAGAGGGGAUGCUUAAUUCUUUCCCUAUCACUUGUUUUUUCCUCUCAAAAUCAUUUUCCCCAAGCUGCUUUUCCCCUGCAUGAGAAAAAAGUAGCAAAAUGUGGUUCAUUUUGAAAGGAAGGAAUGAUCAGCAGGGAAUGUUUGAAGGAGCACAUGCCAUUCAGUCUUCCAACUCACCCAACGAAAAAGCUGUAAACUUAUAGACGAGAAGGAGAGAGUCUUAAAAUUAGCGACAAGCGUCCUCUUCACACAUUCGCUGGGGACAGGGGGUCUUUUGUGGCCUCUCCACACAAUUAGGAACCCUAUAUGUCAUGUGGACAAUUCUGCAUAGAUAGGCUUUAUACUAACCUUCAGCUGGGCACAUGGAGGUCAGAAAGAGGUCUCCUCCAACCAACCUCUGCAUUCAGUGAAUGCAUGAUUUGAAUCAGGACAGAGUUAAUGAAAUUGACAUUGACAAGGAGCCAGUAUAAGAAUAUUAGAACUGAAGGUAAUUUUAAGUGAAGGAGGGGGGGGAGCAUGUACAAGAGCCUAAUUACACUUAAUAAAAAAUACUCGAAAACUAUAACACAUGUACCAUCUCACAGCAGCAUUGGCAGUCAUCAGAAGCCUACAUGUGAAUCCCUUGUUUUAUUUGCUUUUAUAUACUAUUAUGGGUUUUAUAUACUAUUACAGGAUGCAGGUGGCGCUGUGGUCUAAACCACUGAGCCUAGGGCUUGCUGAUCAGAAGGUUGGCGGUUCGAAUCCCCGUGACAGGGUGAGCUGCUGUUGCUCGGUCCCUGCUCCUGCCAACCUAGCAGUUCGAAAGCACAUCAAAGUGCAAGUAGAUAAAUAGGUACCACUCCGGCGGGAAGGUAAAUGGUGUUUCCAUGCACUGCUCUGGUUUCGCCAGAAGUGGCUUAGUCAUGCUGGCCACAUGACCCAGAAAAACUGUCUGCGGACAAACGUUGGGUCCCUCGGCCAGUAAAGCGAGAUGAGCGUUCACAACUGGAUAACUGUCAUGGGUCCUUUACCCUUUUUUAAUGGGUUUUCAAUAUUGUUAUAUAUAUUAGUUUUAGCGUAUAUUUCAGUUUUAAUGGGUACCGCUUUUAUAUUGUCGAUAGGGUACACCAUGUAGAGAUUUAAGGGGAAAAAUAUUAAGCAGUUUAGAAAUGCUCUAAAAUAAAUAAUAAAUGAUAAAUAAAUGUUUUUUUAAAAAAUGUGAUUCAACUUGGUGCCUAAAUGUCGGCACCAGCCAAUUCCAAGGGGCAAGGAGUUUGAAAGCUGAGAACAGGAACAUUGGCCUGAGGCUCAAUGACAUGUCUUUAUGUGUAAUGUGUAGCUACACCUUUACAGGGCAAUCCUAUGCAUAUUUACUUCUAAACAAAUCCUGCUAUGUUGAAAGGUGCUUGUUCCCCAGUAAGGGUGCAGAUAGGAUUGCAACCUUAGAUUCAUUCUGAUGUAACUGAAGAGGGGGGAAAUAGCAGGAAGGGAGACUGGCAAGGAGGAAUUGCUGUAGUCUGGAUGAGAAAUGACCAGAGAAUGGGUAAGAGCCUCUUUCAAAAUACUGUAGUUAGAAUAAUACUGCAUUUGUAAAUGUAUUUAGGAAAUGAUUUCAUUCCUGAGAUCUUUACAAGUGUGUACAGGGGGGUGAGGAGAGGUAUAUAUAAAGCUUUGUAAAGCGUUAUUUGCAUAGAUGCUGCUUUAUAAACAAAUAGCAGUCUAUUAGAGAAAGGGAAACUGAGAGGCCUAUGUAAAUUUGGGCGUUUUCUGCUCCAAUUUAGGGCUUGUCGUUUUAGGGGUUUUGCAAAUUUCUUCAGCGAGGGGUCUUAAAAAUACGUAUUUGGGUGUGAGGAACUGAAUUCUGUGAUUAUUUUUUGAUUGGACAACAUUUAGCUUGGUAAGUCUACAUUUGAUGAAAAAGCACAUAAACUCCUUUCAGAAAACCAAAGAAUUUUAAUUUUGCCCUCUGAAAAUGUCAGAAGUAAAUAAUAGUAAUAGUAACAACAAUAAUAUCGACAUCCGUAUAUAAUUUCAAGUACUUGACAAUCAUUUUUAAUGAUUUUUCUGUAAUUUUACACACAUUUUACUUACCAAGAAAUGCUAAAUUAUAUUAAUUUGAGUAAAAAAAAAUUUUUUUUUUUGAAUUCCAAAGUCAUGUUACAACUUUUAGCACCGCUCAUUUUUUUUGGAAUUUGAAAGUUGACAAAUUCAACACGCUCUGCCAGUGCUCCAUUAUGUUAACAUGCAAUGCAUCCCUGGCAGGCUCCUUUUGUGGAGCAGUUGUUUUGCUCAUUCUACUAAGGCCCAGGUGAGUGUAGUUUUGCGAAAAAGGAACAAUUAUGUACUCCCAAACACACAGAAGCAUCCGAACUCACACAGCUUGCCUUUUACAAGGGCAAUAAAGUUUUAUAUCCAUUUACGGGAGAAGCGGUGUGAAGCAAAAUACCGAAAGCCACCAAAAUAAACGGAUGGGAAGGAAAUUGGCUAUAUUUGGCUACGCCUUAAUCAUUCUGUGUUUUAACUUCAUAUCUUGGUAAUAAACUCCCACUCUGCCACCCGGCCUGUGAUUCUGCAACCUAAUCCUGAAACCAAGCGCCUUCAGUUCUAGAUGUUGCCCAGUGCCAGUGUUAAGAAUACGCAAAAGGCUUGACAUCAAUUACAACAUUACACACAACAUAAAAUUUAACAGCUUGAAUCAGCCUUUCAUUGCUGUUUAAAGCAACCCUGCAGGACUUUCUAAGACCUUAAAAACCAACCAGCUCCUAAAAAGGCUUAGAUUUUCCAAAGAGUGCAGGAGCUGAUGCUGUAACUAAAGGGAUUUUGCUGUUGAGGUGCAGACUACCAUGCAAUAGGCAUUAAAUCAAAGGCAACCUUAAAUAUAUACAUUGAGCCCAUCUAGACCGCCAUACUACGGUAGGAGUAAAAAAACAACCCCUCAUCCUUGGUCACCUGUGUAAUCCUGCCCAGGUGGAUUUCAUCACGUAAUCCAGAAUGCGGCAGCUAGACUGGUGACUGGGAGUGGCUCCCGACACCAUAUAACACCGGUCCUGAAAGACCUACAUUGGCUCCCAGUACGUUUCCGAGCACAAUUCAAAAUGUUGGUGCUGACCUUUAAAGCCCCAAACGGCCUCACCCCAGUAUACCUGAAGGAGCAUCUCCACCCCCAUUUUCAGCCCGGACACUGAGGUCCAGCUCCAAGGGCCUUCUGGCAGUUCCCUCCCUGCAAGAAGUGAGGGGCCUUCUCAGUAGUGGCGCCCGCCCUAUGGAACGCCCUCCCAUCAGAUGUCAAAGAAAUAAACAACUAUCAGACUUUUAGAAGACAUCUGAAGGCAACCCUGUUUAGGGAAGUUUUUAAUGUUUGAUGUCUUAGUGUGAUUUUAAUAUUCUGUAGGGAGCCGCCCAGAGUGGGCGGGGUAUAAAUAAAUUAUUAUUAUUAUUAUUAGUAGUAGUAGUAGUAGUAGUAGUAGUAGGUAGGUAUAGAUAGGGUGGCCUAUUUUACAAAGGACAGCCCUCUGUUUGAAGGGUCAUAAGAAACAUGAGCAAGGAACAUUGACAUUGUCCAUUGGCAACUAACCGAGUAAGCACAUGAGCCAACUGGUCACAGCCUUCCACACUACGCAAUUUUAUUUAAAUUUUAGCAUUUUCCCCCUCUAAAUCUGCAGCUGUACAUAUACAUAUUUGCAUAUUUGCGAAUUUGCAAAUUGCAUGUGCAGCCACGGUGAUGCAUAAGCGACCACGCUUAGUGGAGGCGUGUGGUUAAAAGUGUGAUAAGAUGGCUGCCAGGAUGGGCACGCUGGUAAAUUUUGUGAAAGCAAAAUUGUUGUGGUAAAUUUACAGAAACUAGGGCUGCCAUACGUCUGGGAUUUCCAGGACAUUACCGAGAUUCGUCCGUCAGAAAUAGCGUCUGGGUGGAAUUUCCGAAAGUUGGUAAAAAUGUCCGGGCAUAUGGCAACCUUUGUUGGACGUGUUGAUUUUUUUGGUGAAUUUCCUUAAAAAUAGCUCCCAAACUUCUUCUUUUUUGGAGAUUUUGCCAAAAAGGCUCAACAACUUUGCCCCCUCCAAAACAGAAAGAAAGAAAAGAAAAGGCUCAACAACUUUUGAAAUACAGCAACCCUACAGAAAUGUUUGCUUCUUUCUUCACUUGUUUUCCCGACCCCAGGUGAAAGUGAAGAGAGGUUGUGGUAGUUUCCCCCUCUAUAAAAGGGCAUGGAACAGAGGGCUUGGGUGGCAUAGGAGAAAAUCCAGGCCUUCUAUCUUUGUGUCAAAAUUCAUGUGGAGGCCGCUGGUCUGUGCUUCCCUGACAUGCGAUCCCCCUCAUAAAACGCCAACGGUUUCUGCUGAGGGGAGGCCCAGACAAAGCGAGGGUCGAGGCUGAAUUACCUCUCACCUCUAAUAAGGGUGGUCCUUGCAGGUCAGCGCUGAGGUCGUAGGAAGGGCAGCACGAGGAAGCUUCCUUGUCUCGCAGCUGUGACUUUUCUGGGACUCUGGAAAAGUAAACGGUUCGGUUUCUAAUCCUUUAACCAAAUAAUCAGAUAAAAUAGACUUGUACUGAAACUGUUUUUCUUUUCAGCCUCUGGGUGACAUGCUGGCUCGCCCUGCUCAGUGCAGCGGAGUAUAGUUAAAGGGCUUUGUUUACACCAGUGCCAAAGACUUAACACACCAAUCUUUUAAUGAAUAACAACAAACUUUGUGGUUAUUCCUUUCUCAAUAGGGUUUGUGUUGGGAGAGAUGGACGUAUCUCUGCGCAAAUAGGGG